AACAAUGCAAGACAUAGGCAUUUCCGGCUGCAAAGAAAGUAACAUUUCCAUCAAUUGAUGGCAAGACACUAAUCCGUUGAUUGCAUAUAAUAUAUAUGUAUAUGUAUAGCCGGUGCUAUAAUUCUCAUAUGCAUCCUCCUCGACCUACAUUGGUAGGUGCUUACAUACAUAUGCUCAUAUAUUCACAUAUGAGUAGAACGAGAAGUAAAACUGAGAAAGCAGAGCCGCCGACAAAUUUGACUAACAUGACAUGUAUAUCGGUUACUUCAACUUGCACUUUAGGCCUUGCCAGAUUCCUCGCAGCCUGGUGGCCUGAAGGCAAUGAAGCUGACGCAUUGCACCUGGCGCAUGUUGUCGAAGCCGAUGACGCGGACAUACGCAUCAGGGUACUCCUUCUUAACCUCCUCCACCUCGUUGAGCACCUGUGUGGCGUCGGUGCACCCGAACAUAGGCAGCUUCCACAUUGUCCAGUAUCGACCGUCAUAAUACCCGGGGGAGCUGUUGUGCUCACGGAAGACGAAGCCAACCUUGCUGAACUCGAGGCAGGGCACCCACUUGGAGCGGAUCAAGUAGUCGACCUGCUUCAGGAGGGCCUCCGUGGAGAGGGGUGGUAAGUAAGACAGGGUCUCGAACUUCUUGAUGCCCUCAAUUGGCCACACCUGAAUAGAUGGAAUGAACACAAUUGAUCAACACUUAGUGCUUUAAGAAAGACCUACCCAUAAGGAAAAAAUUACUCCUGAUGGUCUGCCCACACAUCGUGGGGGGUCUCCACAAGCAAGAAAGCUCAAGGGCAGCUCUUGCUUAUGGGUAGUGUAUGGGCAUUAAAAUGAUAUUAUCUAGUACACAUUGCAAUAAAAAUGAUUUUCAUUCACAAAGUUUAUGAGUUAAAUAUGCCUACACAUGUGAAUCUGCUUACGGACUACAUUGUGAGGUUUACUUUGGCCUGGUAUGUGGGUUGCACGUCCUAAGGAUAGCGUUGCCUAUGUGAAGUGGAAAUACCCGAUAAAUUAAUCAAUUGUGCCGACAAGAACAUUCAUGACAGCUUAGUGUCCGCCAUUCUUUGCCAAAAAGUAAAUUGAAAAGGAGGAUAACCCAGCCCGUGCAUCAAGCGAUGCACACUGCCAUUUUUGUUAUGUUAUUUAUUUAACAUAGUCUAACAAAACGAAUACAGUUUUAAUUCAAAGCCACAUUCCAGACGAACAAAAUCGUUACACCUACAAAUACAAUGAUGUGCCUUGACUGCACCAUCUUUUGCAAAAAUGAUAUUUAGCUUUCAUACCUGCAUGCAUCUGAUCCUUCCGCCAUUGCUGACGCUGCUGAGGCCGGCGCUGCAGGAGCGGCGGCUGACGGGGAGGCCGGCGGUCGACUUGAGCCCCUGGAAGGGCGCGGCGGUGGUGGCGGAAGAAGCCAUCACGGCUGGGGCCAUGGCGGAGUACGUGAAUUGCUAGGUGGGGAGGCGAUAGCUAGCUAGGCCACACUUGACUUGAGCCCUCCUCAUGCCGCUCCAGUAUAUAUCAGCGUAUGCCCAGCGCCGCUCCUUUCAAACGAGAUUUCGAAGGGGUGGUCGUCGUUUGCUUGCUGCAAGGUGCCUUAUCCCUCUGGAUCAGCGGAAGAGGGUUGGAAAAUCAAAAUGAAUGCCACGGAAGAGAUAAAUAUACCUGCGGUCAUUGAAGUUGAGGCCGAAGCACACUACAGUCAUUGUACUUCAAAAUAAGUUUAAUACGGUCAUUGAAUACGAGUUGUAGUGUGCUUCCUAUUUUUUUUCUAGUCUGCAUACACGGAGAAGGUGGCACACUACAGUCACUGCACACACUCAGCCGUAGAAUGCCCGUAUUUCCUCUGUUUUUUUUUCUAGUCUGCAUAUAAAAUGUGGUCAAAGUUAAACUUUGUCAACUUUGAUUAAGUUUAUAAAAGAAAUAUAACGAUUCAUAAUAUGAAAUCAAUACUGUUAGAUGCAUCAUGAAAUUAAGUUUUAUACUUUCUUUAUUUUAAAAUAUAGUGCGCCCGCGUUUUCCGAGGUCUAACUUUGACCAUAAAUUUAACCAACGACACCGACUGCGAUGAGAGAAAAAAUUAUAUAAUUGAAAACCUCUUUUGAAUACGAAUUCACUGGUAUAAUUUUUGCUCCCACCGCAGUCGGUCUUAUUGGUUAAAUUUAUAGUCAAAGUUGAAACACGGGAAUAAAAGAAGCACUAUAUUUUGAAAUGGAUGGAGUACAAUAUAACUUUUAGUAUUGUAGAUGUUGAUAUUUUUUUCAACAAAAUUGGUUAAACUUUACAAAGUUUGAUUUUGACCAAAUACUAUAUGCAGACUAAAAAUAACGGAGGGAGUACACAACACAUGCAUCCGCACACGCUCGGCUGCAUGGUGGCGUGCGCCAUCUGCGACGACGUUGGUUCGUCGUGGUACGUCCAAGCUUGCCCACAACAAUGCCAUACGCCAUCUCUUGCAGCACCUCUUCGUCGUCAUUGCUCGACGACUGGCCGGAGACCAAGGUGACCGUGGCCUCGGCCUUAGAGCUAGCACCGAUAGAAAGCAUACGCGCAUGUACGGAGUACCCACUAGGUCGUGCGUCCCCAGCCGCGCCUCUACUCCUACUGCGCACAUUGUCUAUGAAGGCGAAUGCAUCACGCGCUAGCCGAGGCUUCAUCUUUAAUAAUUACAGCACCUACGGCACAAUCCGAGACUGCAUGGAGUCCUACUCGUGCAUGAGCCACUCUUGAUCACCUGUCGGAUCAUCCCCUCGGAGAACCUCAUCGCCUUGCCACCGUGGCCCCUAGCUCCUGCCCUUCACCUUGUGCUCCUACCAGUCGUCGAUCCGACAGGUGAUCAAGAGUGGCUCAUGCACGAGUAGGACUCCAUGCAGUCUCGGAUUGUGCCGUAGGUGCUAUAAUUAUUAAAGAUGAAGCCUCGGCUAGCGCGUGAGGCAUACGAUCAUGAUUCUCAGGUUCGAAGCCCGCAUUAAUUUACAUCCCUUCAGUUUUCUCUUAUACACCAUGAUAGGUGGGACCUAUAGAGCAGGGAGACAACUCAGCGCUGAUGGAGCCCUAACUGCCCCAUAGACUCUUUGACAGGUCAACUGGGCAAAAUACGAAGCUCUAUGGUGAACCAGUGACCAUAUAAUCAUCGUAACUCGUAUCCAAUGACUGUAUUGAGUGUAUUUUGAGGUUCAAUGACCGUAGUUUGCUUGGGCCUCAAUUUCAGUGACUGCUAGUGUAUUUAUCUCGCCACGGAAAGACCCCAAAACGUUAUAUAGGAUCACCAUUGAUCAUCCAAAUCUAAGGUCACUGAAUUUGUUAUGAACAAAUUCUUUGGCGCGAAACUAAACCACGCCAACACUAAAAUUCAUGAAGGGAAGUCAUCCAUACUCUUAUGUUUCAUUAUAUGAGACGGUAAUUAUUUCUUCAUUUAAAGUGUUGGUAUGGCUCCACCAUGGUGUUAGAUGUGGCAUUUUCCUAUACGAUGUGAUAUCAUCAUUUUUUUCUAAUUUAAUAAAACUUCUUCAUAUAGGUCUCACAAUCUGAAAAUACUCAUUCGCACGCGCGCGUUGGGUGGGUGAAGCGCUCCGUAGAAUAAGUCAGGUUCCGACCGCGUGCUAUAUUCCUUUCCAAUUUUUCACAUGUUUUUUUAAUUGAGAAUGGUGGCCCCAUAUGGUAUAGCAGCCCAAUGCCAUGGAAUUAAAUGUGUUGGGCCCACCCCACCUGAUACGCGCAUUCGUAGAAGGGCUAGUUGUGGUGGCAUCAUGCCUUUGACUUUUAAUGAUAUAUCUUUGAAUUUCAUCAAAUUUCAGUAGACAGCGAAAUAUUUACCUUUCGCCCAAAAUAUAUCAGUCAUUUCAAUUGUACACAUGAAUUCAAAUAUUUUUCAACAUUUUUUCAUUUUUUUUAACUUUCGAGUGAAUAUUUUGGUCUUUUGGUCAAAAUGCAAACUGACAUUACUGGAACUUAGUAAUUUUGGUAGGUACUGAAAUGAAAAAACAUGGGUGCCAUGGCAUGCAAGCCCACCCUGUGAUCAAUAUAUAAUCUCACACUAAAUUCCAGGUGGGGGCUAGUUUCCCUAAAAUAAUGAAUAAUCCAAGGGAACGGAAAUAUCACUGCACACUUUCCUAAUAGGGGCGUGGACGGCCAGUCGGAAAUCGACCACGCGGACGCGCGUGCGAAUUAGCCUCCCCCCCAACAAUCAUCCACCCAAAAAAUAAUUCAAGUUAAUAUAAUUUUAGCCUGGCAUGCGUGUACCUCCACGAUAUCGAUGUAAUGGGCUGCUGGUGUUUGCAACUAAUUGUUUCGUAAUGUUAUGACUGAAUAUGGAUUUUCUCAUGAGACAUAGGGUUUCUGCCUCUUAGGCAGGUUUUAUGACAAAAUUGAUAGUUUCGUCAUGGAAGGUCCCAUGUUCAUGACACAAACACCAAACAUCGCAGUUAAUUCAUUGUAGAAGGCCAAAAUAUUACUAGUACAAGCUAUCUUGGGGCUCAUCAAUUGGAUAUGUAAUUUGCACAUAUUUGUGCCCUCUACAUGUUCUUUGGUUUAUUGGAAUUUCUGUAAUACUGCAAAAAAUAGUAUAUAAUUGUGGUGUAAAAUGGUUAGAAAAAGUGACAUGUCUUUCAUGAACCGAUGCAGGAAUAUGGCUCACAUGACAAGUGCAUUACGGUAGGUUUGUCCUUGUCUUGUUAUGACACCUUUGUUUGUCCUUUUUUCUAGUUUCUUAUUUGUUUUUUUGUUUUUUUGUUAUUAUCGGUUUCUCGUCAAUUCCCUAUUGUUUUGCCAUUAGUUUUUAAUGGGGUCUCACCAUCUUUUAUGUGUUUCUCCAUAGUAUUUUUUGAAGUACUUUGGUAUUCCAUAACAAUUUCCGUAUUAGACAAUACACAACAUAUGAUUGAGCAAAAAAUGCAUGAGAAGAAAACAAUGCAAGACAUAGGCAUUUCCGGCUGCAAGGAAAGUAACCAUUCCAUCGAUUGAUGGCAAGACACUAAUCCGUUGAUUGCAUAUAAUAUAUAUGUAUAUGUAUAGCCGGUGCUAUAAUUCUCAUAUGCAUCCUCCUCGACCUACAUUGGUAAGUGCUUACAUACAUAUGCUCAUAUAUUCACAUAUGAGUAGAACGAGAAGUAAAACUGAGAAAGCAGAGCCGCCGACAAAUGUGACUAACAUGACAUGUAUAUCGGUUACUUCAACUUGCACUUUAGGCCUUGCCGGAUUCCUCGCAGCCUGGUGGCCUGAAGGCAAUGAAGCUGACGCAUUGCACCUGGCGCAUGUUGUCGAAGCCGAUGACGCGGACAUAGGCAUCAGGGUACUCCUUCUUGACCUCCUCCACCUCGUUGAGCACCUGUGUGGCGUCGGUGCACCCGAACAUAGGCAGCUUCCACAUUGUCCAGUAUCGACCGUCGUAGUACCCGGGGGAGCUGUUGUGCUCACGGAAGACGAAGCCAACCUUGCUGAACUCGAGGCAGGGCACCCACUUGGAGCGGAUCAAGUAGUCGACCUGCUUCAAGAGGGCCUCCGUGGAGAGGGGUGGCAAGUAAGACAGGGUCUCGAACUUCUUGAUGCCCUCAAUUGGCCACACCUGAAUAGAUGGAAUGAACACAAUUGAUCAACACUUAGUGCUUUAAGAAAGACUUAGCCAUAAGGCAAAAAUUACUCCUGAUGGUCUGUCCAUACAUUGUGGGGGGUCUCCACAAGCAAGAAAGCUCAAGGGCAGCUCUUGCUUAUGGGUAGUGUACGGGCACUAAAAAUGAUAUUAUCCAGUACACAUUGCAAUAAAAACGUUUUCCAUUCACAAAGUUUAUGAGUUAAAUAUUCCUACACAUGUGAACCUGCUUACGGACUACAUUGUGAGGUUUAGUUUGGCCUGGUAUGUGGGUUACACGUUCUAAGGAUAGCUUUGCCUAUGUGCAGUGGAAAUACCCGAUAAAUUAAUCUGACAGCUUAGUGUGCGUAAUCCUUCGUCAAAAAAAUUCAAAAAGGAGCAUAUCCCCAGCCUCUGCAUCAAGCGAUGCACACUGUCAUCUUUAUUAUGUUAUUCAACAGAGUGUAACUUAACAAGUACGAUUUUAAACCUAAGCCAUUUUCGAGAUGGACAAAAUUGUUACACCUACAAGUACGAUGAUGUGCCUUGACCGCUCCAUCCUUCGCAAAAAUAAUAAUUAGUUUUCAUACCUGCAUGCAUCUGAUCCUUCCGCCAUUGCUGACGCUGCUGAGGCCGGUGCUGCCGGAGCGGCAGCUGACGGGGAGGCCGGCGGUCGACUUGAGCCCCUGGAAGGGCGCGACGGUGGUGGCGGAAGAAGCCAUCACGGCUGGGGCCAUGGCGGAGUACGUAAAUUGCUAGGUGGGGAGGCGAUAGCUAGCUAGGCCACACUUUGAGCUCUCCUCAUGCCGCUCCAGUAUAUAUCACCAUAUGACGCCCCAACAAGAUUUCCAAGGGGUGGUCGUCGUUUGCCUGUUGCAAGGUGCCUUAUCCCUCUGGAUCAGCGGAAGAGGGGUGGCCCUCCGAUGCAUUGCGUGCGUGUGACUGCUGUACAAAUGGUAUAAUAAUUUUUGGAUCGUUAGAUUAGCACCUGCGCCUCUCUCCCCUAAUCUGCCGUAGUUUUCAUCUAAGGCUCCCACUAAUUUUGAUUUAUUUUGUUUCCAAAAAGUCACUGCUCCCAGAAAUUACUCCUCGAAGAUUUGUGUCUGAGGUAAUUGCACGGGUGGUGCUUGAACUUGUUAUCGAUGUUCACUUUAAUGCCUGAACUUGAAAAAUACGUCCAACUAGUUAUAGUACUUGGCACACUUGUUCGAAUAUGGUUCAAACCUCGUUCGCAUACAUAUGUGUUGCUAACUAGGCAUGUCAGCAUGGCGCAGGGCCCACUUGCAGUGCCGUGACUACUUGCAAAGUAUACUCUAUGUGGCAAUCGGGUCCCACCGUGUGGCUGUCAAGGCUCCCACUAAUUUUGAUUUAUUUUAUUUUCAAAAGGUUACUGCUCCCGAAAAUUACUCCUCCAAGAUUUGUGUUUGUGUCUCUCUACAUGUGGUGGGGGCGGUGGGGAGGAUAACGCUGUGCCUGUGAAGAUGCACCCUACGCCUGUAUAAGUAGCGCGCCAAGUUGGCCACACAGAUACCGCGCACUGUCCGAUGACGUGUACCCAUCCACCUGCCGCCUAAUACAUGGAUAGAUAGGCGGCGAAACACCGACCAACACAUGAUGAUCGCACAUUGAUAGUAUAGGGGAUCGUAGCAGUCCUCAGUCUGAUGAGAUCACCUAUUAAGGGAUAGACUCAUCAGCACCAAACAAGCUACAACAUAUGGGGAUCCUAAUGCAAGAUGCUCACCUACCAAACAUAGUCGACCUGACAAACCACUUGGACGAUACCAAGUCACUCGAACGAGCCAAGUACACUAGGUCAUUUGGACGGAGUUCAUCAAUGUACGAAUACACCAAACACUCGAAGGCACGAAGUACAACAUGCAGAGAAGGCACCUGGGGCGUUGUGCAAUUUAAUAGAAUUAGCAUUACUAACUUUAUUGCAUCAAUUACCUCUUGUAGUGGAUCUAAUAAUUAGACAUCUUUAAACACACUGGUAGAAAAAGGGCCUGUUGUCCCGGUUCGUAAGGGCCUGUUGUCCCGGUUCCUGAACCGGAACUAAAGUGUCGGUACUAAUGCUCUGUCCCUUUAGUCCCGGUUCAAUCCAGAACCGGGACUGAUGGGCCUUCACGUGGCCUGUGCGCGGAGCCCAGGCAGGAGACCCUUUGGUCCCGGUUGGUGGCACCAACCGGGACCAAUAGGCAUCCACGCCUCAGCAUUUCUGUGGCUGGGGUUUUUGUUUUUUUUUGAAAGGGGGGGGGGGGUUGGGGGGUUUUGGGGGGUUAAUUUAGGUGUUUCAUAUAUUGUGUUAGCUAGCUAUAAUUAAUAGAGAGAAGUGUUAUCUCUUAUGUCCGUCCUUGGUCGACGCUACGUACUAUACAUACGUAUAAAAAGGACUAGACAUGCUAGCUAGCUAGUAAGCAAACGAAGGAAACAGAAUAUCGUCAUGAACAUAUAUGCAUACAGAGAGAAGUGAUAUCGACCACCUCUCCUUCUUCGAGAGAUUGGUCGAACAACAAGUUCUCGUAUAUCUAUCCGACACUACUGGCUACAUAUAUACAACAAUUAUCUCUUACAAAUAUAAUCAUACGGACUCAUGGUCCACAUAGUAUUCUCCGUCUUCAGCGAUCACGUGGUCAAGAAAGAAUGCCGUCAAUUCCUCUUGAAUUGCUCGCAUGCGAGCUGGUGCUAGGAGUUCAUCCCGCUUCCAAAACAUCUAAUUUGAAGAAGGGGGUCAAUACAUAUAUAUAUAUGAAUGAAUGAAACUCAAUACAAAUGAUGGUAAUAAAAUAAAAUUGUGAAUGUUGUUAUUUACGUACUUCAUAUUGUUCGUCAGAGUACCCGCCCCGCUCACAGGUCGUGUGGCGGAUGGACUCGCAGACGUAGUAUCCACAGAAAUCAUUCCCUUGUUCCUGCCACAACCACUUUACAAGAAAUAGAGGUCAAUCAAACUGAUAAGCAAGAACAUGCUACUAUAGUACUUACUUUCGGGUGUCUAAAUUCCAGCUCCUUCGGCAGUCCCGGAACUUUUCUGGUGAAUUUUCUCCAAACCCUGCCGGACAAAGAAAAUAAUUACUUGAUAUCAGGAAAUGAACAAAGUUGCUGAUAUGGUGGAUAAUGAUCGAUUUAACUUACUUCUUGAGGAUUUCAGUCAUGUCCGCAUACUCCUGGGGAUUUUUUCGUUUAGAGUCCAAGACGAUUACUACUCCCUGCUCAAGCCUAAUCUCUAAGAGAAUAUAGUGGAAACUGCACACGCAUGCAUAACUCAUCAAUUACAUUACUAUAACCUGGACUAAUAUAUAAGGGAAACCGAAUAUGCACAAGACAGUAACACUCACUUGAAGUUGUAAGGAAAGAGUAUUAUAUCUUUGUUUUCAUUUUUUUGAAUGAUCGUAGCAAGUUGGCCUCGGUAUCUUCGGGACGAUGUUCAACCUCAGUUGCAUCUAUGAGAUAUGUGUUAACGAACCCAAUAUCACCGAUUUGUCUUUUCUUCAAUUCGGCGAUCUUCAUUCUGCAUAAUAUAGUGAGGAUAAUUAUAAAUACAUGCAAUGAAAGAGAUGAGCUAUAUAGAGAGACUUAAUGACAGAAGUAGUAGUACUUACAGACAGUAGCAGGUGAUCGUUGUUUUAUUGAGGGCCAAUUGAUUGAAAAACUGAUAGAACUCCUCAAAUGGAAUAGGCAACAGUUCAAUUCCAACGAGGUCAUGCUCCGGUUUAACUCACGCAUACAAAGUACUCCUCCCCCCAGACUCUCUGCAGAUUUUCAAGUACCAAUCAUGUAAUCUUCGCAUCAUCGUUGUUAAAGAUUUUUCAUCUUUGACGAGAGGCUUCCCGUACUCGUAUCUGUGUAUCUGCACCUCCAUGGGAUCAUAAUGUACAUCGUCGGGCAGGUAAUCGUCAGCAUUGCCAUAACCGGGCACCAUCCUCGGAUCAACGAUGUCGCUAGGCACCUUGAGGGGGGGCACGAUUGCUUCGCUUGUUCGCCGAGCUGGGCAAUUUGUUUCCCAGCUGCUCGUCGUUCUUUCAGCCUUUGAUCACUGAGUGUACUUCCCGACCGCUUCGCUUCGGCCCAUGUCUUUGCAAUAAUGCGCUCAUAGUUGCCUUUCGGCGGAGACUUGGGUGGUUUUGCCAGGGCAGCCAGAGUGCGCUUCACUUUCACCAGAUCUACCUUCUCCUCCGGAGGUGGAUGUCUCUUUGCUCUCAACCCUUGAAACCAGUCAUCCACUUCGGUUCGCGCGAUCUUCGUGUUCUCCUCCGGGGUCCUCUCGUAUGGUAACUUCUGUGGACUCUUCAGAGAAGGACCGAAUCUGUAUGUCCUCCCGACUCUGGUUGUACUGCUAGACACCGACCGAGCAGAAGAAGCGGUUGUCUUCUUUACUUGCUUACGAGGCGGAGGAGAAGGACUAUGACACACCGGAGCAGCUGCUGGAGCGGCGGCGGGUCUCUUCCGCCCUUGCUGACGAGGCGGAGAAGGAGGAGGCCGGCUGCUCGGGCGCGCCGGCGCAGGCGGAGUGCCGCCACGCGCCGGAGAAGGAGCCGGCCGAGGGCCCUGAUCGUCACUCGCCGGAGGAGGAGGCGGUGAAGGAGGCGGAGUGCCCUGACUCGCUGGAGAAGGAGGAGGAGGCGGAGGCAUCCAGUUCGGAAGGUUGAUGAGCUCCUUCCGCCAUAGGCAUGGAGUCUUCAGAGCAGACCCCAGCUGAGUCUCCCCUUCACCGGUAGGGUGGUCAAGCUGGAGGUCCCCAAAUCCCUCCGUUAUUUCAUCCACCAUCACCCUAGCAUAUCCUUCUGGAAUCGGCUGGCAGUGAAAAGUUGCGCCGGGUUCAGUAGGAUAAACAGAGCCAACAGCCGCCUUGACCUUCAAAUUCAUCCAUUGCGUCAUAAGGUGGCAAUUUUGAGACUCCGUGAUAGCAUCCACGGGAUAGCUGGCAGGAGCCAUCAAGGCAUGCUUCGGCUGAAGCAGCUCGGUGGAAGCCACGCUGCUUCUGCGCUGAGAUGGCGGGGUCGCUUCGGGGGAAGCUUCGGCAGUACGUUUGCUGCGAUUUGCUUCUCGUUCCUCUAUCACGUCUACCCUUGCUUGCAGCGCCUGUAUUUGGGUCUGCUGCACUUUUUUCCUCCUCUCAUGGGAUUUGUAACCGCCUGCGUCCGGAAACCCAACCUUCCACGGAAUGGAGCCUGGCGUGCCUCGUGUCUGUCCAUGGUGCUCAGGAUUCCCGAGGGCCAUUGUGAGCUCGUCGUUCUCUCUGUCUGGAAAGAACUUCCCUUGCUGUGCUGCUUCGAUAUACUGCUUAAGCUUCCUGACUGGUAUGUCCAUUUGAUCGUUCGUCCAAAUGCACUUCCCUGUUACAGGGUCCAAGGUUCCGCCAGCCCCAAAGAACCAAGUCUGGCAACGGUCUGGCCAGCUAAUUAUCUCUGGUUCGAUCCCUUUAUCAACCAGAUCAUUCUCAGUCUUGGCCCACUUAGGCCGGGCUACGAGGUAGCCACCUGACCCCGUGCGAUGGUGAAGCAUCUUCUUCGCAGCAUUUUGCUUGUUUGUCACCGACAUCUUCUUACUCUUUUCCUAUGUCUUGUGGGCCACAAAUGCGGGCCAGUGAUCUCUGAUCUUCUCAUAUCUUCCCUUGAAUUCUGGUGUCUCAUUAUUUUCGACAAACUUAUUCAGCUCUUUCUUCCACCUCCUAAAUAGUUCUGCCAUCCUCUUAAGAGCAAAAGACUUGAUUAAUUGCUCUUUAACUGGGUUCUUUGGAUUAUCCUCUGGCGGUAGGGUGAAAUUUGACUUCAGCUCAGUCCAAAGAUCAUUUUUCUGCAUAUCAUUGACAUAAGACACCUCAGGGUCUUCUGUAGCCAGCUUAAACCAUUGUUGGAUGCUUAUCGGGAUCUUGUCCCUAACCAGAACCCCGCACAGAGCAACAAAUGCGCUCUUUAUCCGGAGGGGUUCAAUCGGUUGGCCGUCGGGCGCGAUUGCUAUGAUCUCAAACUUUUCAUCCGAGCUCAACUUUUUCUUCGGGCCUCGUCUCUUUACCGAAGUUGUGCUCGAUCCGGAGGGCUAGAAAAAAGAACAAAGACUUAAUUAAUAUGUGUACAUACCAAAACAAUGAAUGCAUCAAUCAGCUAGUCAGCACAGGCUUAACUAAUAUAUAUACCUGGCCGGACUCGGUUCGGUCACCGGAGCCGUCAUCACGGUCUCCUUCUUGCACCGUCAUUGGGUCACCGGAGCCGUCCUCAUGUUCUUCUUCUUACACCGGCAUUAGGUCACUGUAGCCAGCUUCUUCACCCUCUCCUUCCAGACCAUCGGUGUUGUUGAGAAACAACAAGAUGGCAUCACUUCCUUCUGCGAUUAUGUCCAUCAACAACGCUUCUUUUGCUUCGUCUCGGGAGGUGUCCAUAGUUUCUACAAAUAUUUACAACAUGGCAAUUAUUAUUCAAACAUGACAGAUGGAUAUAUUAGUGCCAAACGUAGAACUAGCUACCUAAUCAUAGUAAGGAAUCAUAUAUAUUAAUUAGUGGCCUCGACCCCCCCCCCCACGUGUUGAAGCUAUCGGGAGGGGGUAUAUAUCGACAACGACGACACUACAUCUAUAUGUCCCUCGACGACCCUCGUUCCCGAUAAAAAAAGAGGAAGAAAAAGAAAAAAAAAGAGGAGAAGAAAGAAUAGAGGAGAAGAACUCCUCUAUUCUUUCUUCUCCUCUUUUUUUUCUUCUUCCUAUUCUUUUUUAUCCUCUUCUUCCUCUCAUGUUCGAGAGGAUCGCCGAGGGGUCGGAAGGUUGCCUAGUGUCAAAGGAUUCAACAAAACCAUGUCUUCAUCAUUAGGCGAAAGUAACAGGUGCAUGAUGGUACGAAGCUCUCCAAAGUUAUUUUGGAACGGAGUCCUAGAUAGGAUAAUUCGCUUUUUGGUACAAAGUUCAGCAAGAACCUUCCAAAUAUCAUGAUUUGAAAGGCCUUUGUUGAAAUUCAUACAAAAAGGCAAAUUAUCCUAUCCGGGACACCAUUCCAAAAUAACUUUGGAGGACUUCGUCAUGCCCUGGUUACUUCCGGCUAAUGAUGAAGCCAUGGAUUUCUUCAAUACUUUGACACUAGGAAACCUCUCUCGACCCCUCGGCGAUCCUCGACCCCUCGAACCCUCGACGACCCUGGAACCCUCGACCCCUAGACGACCCUGAAAUAAAAAGAGGAGAAUAAGAAAGGAAUAUCUAGAGGAGAAGAUCGAAGAAAAAAAGAAGAAAAAAAAGAGGAGAAGAAGAAAGGAAUAGAGGAGAAGAAGAGAAAAUAGAAUAUAUUCUAUUUUCUCUUCUUCUCCUCUAUUCCUUUCUUCUUCUCCUCUUUUUUUUUCUUUUUCUUAUUUAUUUUUCCCCUUCUUCCUCUCCUCUUCUUCUCCUUUCUUCCUCUUCUUAUUUUCCUUUUUCCUCUCCUUUUUCUUCUUCUUCCUUCUUUCUAGCUAGAUAUAUAAAACUUUUCAAAAAAUGUAACUUUUGCAUAUAUACAUGGAAAAAAUUGUUAUCGGGGAGGGAAUAUAUUCUAUUUUCUCUUCUUCUCCUCUAUUCCUUUCNNNNNNNNNNNNNNNNNNNNNNNNNNNNNNNNNNNNNNNNNNNNNNNNNNNNNNNNNNNNNNNNNNNNNNNNNNNNNNNNNNNNNNNNNNNNNNNNNNNNNNNNNNNNNNNNNNNNNNNNNNNNNNNNNNNNNNNNNNNNNNNNNNNNNNNNNNNNNNNNNNNNNNNNNNNNNNNNNNNNNNNNNNNNNNNNNNNNNNNNNNNNNNNNNNNNNNNNNNNNNNNNNNNNNNNNNNNNNNNNNNNNNNNNNNNNNNNNNNNNNNNNNNNNNNNNNNNNNNNNNNNNNNNNNNNNNNNNNNNNNNNNNNNNNNNNNNNNNNNNNNNNNNNNNNNNNNNNNNNNNNNNNNNNNNNNNNNNNNNNNNNNNNNNNNNNNNNNNNNNNNNNNNNNNNNNNNNNNNNNNNNNNNNNNNNNNNNNNNNNNNNNNNNNNNNNNNNNNNNNNNNNNNNNNNNNNNNNNNNNNNNNNNNNNNNNNNNNNNNNNNNNNNNNNNNNNNNNNNNNNNNNNNNNNNNNNNNNNNNNNNNNNNNNNNNNNNNNNNNNNNNNNNNNNNNNNNNNNNNNNNNNNNNNNNNNNNNNNNNNNNNNNNNNNNNNNNNNNNNNNNNNNNNNNNNNNNNNNNNNNNNNNNNNNNNNNNNNNNNNNNNNNNNNNNNNNNNNNNNNNNNNNNNNNNNNNNNNNNNNNNNNNNNNNNNNNNNNNNNNNNNNNNNNNNNNNNNNNNNNNNNNNNNNNNNNNNNNNNNNNNNNNNNNNNNNNNNNNNNNNNNNNCCUUGUGUUGCCUCGCGCCCAAAAGUUUAGUCCCACCUCGCUAGUUGAGAGGGCUCGGGAGUGGUUUAUAAGCGCUGUUGCGCCCAUCCUCCCGAGCUCCUCUCUACUGCAGGCUUUCGGGCCUAAUCUGUCACUGCAAUGCAUGUGGGCCUACUGGGCCUGCUGCGGGCCUGAAUCCUGGCCCAUGGUAGGGUUUCUAGUCGUAUUCAGGCCGUGGUGGCCCAAUAGGUGGCAUUUUUUUUGUUGCUUUAUUUAUUUCCUUUUGUUUUUUGCUUUAUUUUUUAAUUCUUUAUGCCUUUAGUUUUAGAAAAAUUAUAAACUUUUUAUUAAUGCCAUUAGUUUUAAAAUUUGAAAAUAUUUUUUUAGUUUUUUAGUUUUCUUUGUUGCUUUAUUUAUUUUAUUUUGUGAUUAACUUUACUAUAAAAAUAGUUUUUUCCUGUUUUUUUAUUUGUUUUUUGCAUUAUUUAUUUUCUUUUGUUUUUUUCUUUAAUUUUUAAUUCUGUUUGCUUUUAGGUUAGCAAAAUUAUAAACUUNNNNNNNNNNNNNNNNNNNNNNNNNNNNNNNNNNNNNNNNNNNNNNNNNNNNNNNNNNNNNNNNNNNNNNNNNNNNNNNNNNNNNNNNNNNNNNNNNNNNNNNNNNNNNNNNNNNNNNNNNNNNNNNNNNNNNNNNNNNNNNNNNNNNNNNNNNNNNNNNNNNNNNNNNNNNNNNNNNNNNNNNNNNNNNNNNNNNNNNNNNNNNNNNNNNNNNNNNNNNNNNNNNNNNNNNNNNNNNNNNNNNNNNNNNNNNNNNNNNNNNNNNNNNNNNNNNNNNNNNNNNNNNNNNNNNNNNNNNNNNNNNNNNNNNNNNNNNNNNNNNNNNNNNNNNNNNNNNNNNNNNNNNNNNNNNNNNNNNNNNNNNNNNNNNNNNNNNNNNNNNNNNNNNNNNNNNNNNNNNNNNNNNNNNNNNNNNNNNNNNNNNNNNNNNNNNNNNNNNNNNNNNNNNNNNNNNNNNNNNNNNNNNNNNNNNNNNNNNNNNNNNNNNNNNNNNNNNNNNNNNNNNNNNNNNNNNNNNNNNNNNNNNNNNNNNNNNNNNNNNNNNNNNNNNNNNNNNNNNNNNNNNNNNNNNNNNNNNNNNNNNNNNNNNNNNNNNNNNNNNNNNNNNNNNNNNNNNNNNNNNNNNNNNNNNNNNNNNNNNNNNNNNNNNNNNNNNNNNNNNNNNNNNNNNNNNNNNNNNNNNNNNNNNNNNNNNNNNNNNNNNNNNNNNNNNNNNNNNNNNNNNNNNNNNNNNNNNNNNNNNNNNNNNNNNNNNNNNNNNNNNNNNNNNNNNNNNNNNNNNNNNNNNNNNNNNNNNNNNNNNNNNNNNNNNNNNNNNNNNNNNNNNNNNNNNNNNNNNNNNNNNNNNNNNNNNNNNNNNNNNNNNNNNNNNNNNUUCUGUUAGUGCCAUUAGUUUUCAAAUUUGAAAACACUUUUUUAGUUUUUUUGUUUUCUUUGUUGCUUUAUUUAUUUUAUUUUGUGAUUAACUUUACUAUAAGAAUAGUUUUUUCCUGUUUUUUUGAUUUGUUUUUUGCAUUAUUUAUUUUCUUUUGUUUUUUGCUUUAAUUUUUAAUUCUGUUUGCUUUUAGGUUAGCAAAAUUAUAAACUUUCUGUUAGUGCCAUUAGUUUUAGAAAAAUUAUAAACUUUCUGUUAGUGCCAUUAGUUGAAAGUUGGCAUGGGCCAGGGACUAAUGGUCAUGGUAUUACGAGGGCCGAACCAUAAGACAUGAAAGCAUUUCAAAUGAACUCUGAAAAAGUUGAAAGUUGGGAUGGUAUCAUAAUUUCACCCACAUAGCAUGUGCAUGUACAAAACGGACAAUGGUAGCAUGUUCGUGUGUUACAAAGUUGCGGGAGAAAGUCUUCACUUUUUCUUCGCUUGUGUCAUUUGCUUAUUGCGCCGUAACCAUGGAUAAUCUUCAUUGUUUAUCAGGAUGCUUGGGUCAGCCUUGACAUUGAAGGGAGGAAUUUCAUGAAACUUUUCAUAAUCUUCAGACAUGUCUGUCUUGCCGUCCACUCCUAGGAUGUCCCUUUUCCCUGAAAGAACUAUGUGGCGCUUUGGCUCAUCGUAUGAUGUAUUCGCUUCCUUAUCUUUUCUUUUUCUCGGUUUGGUAGACAUGUCCUUCACAUAGAUAACCUGUGCCACAUCAUUGGCUAGGACGAACGGUUCGUCAGUGUACCCAAGAUUUUUCAGAUCCGCUUUUGUCAUUCCGUACUGUGGGUCUACCUCUACCCCGCCGCCUAACAGAUUGACCCAUUUGCACUUAAACAAAGGGACCUUAAAAUUAGGUUCGUAGUCAAGUUCCCAUAUGUCCACUGUGUAACCAUAAUAUGUAUCCUUUCCGCUCUCGGUUGCUGCAUCAAAGCGGACACCGCUGUUUUGGUUGGUGCUCUUUUGAUCUUGGGCGAUCGUGUAAAAUGUAUUCCCAUUUAUCUCGUAUCCUUUGUAAGUCAAUACAGUCAAAGAUGGUCCCCUGGACAACAAGUACAACUCAUCACAAACAGUGUUGUCACCUCUGAGACGUGUUUCCAACCAACUGCUGAAAGUCCUGAUGUGUUCACAUGUAAUCCAGUCGUCGCACUGCUCUGGGUGUUUGGAGCGCAGACUGUUCUUGUGUUCAUCGACAUACGGGGUCACCAAGGUAGAGUUCUGUAGAACUGUGUAGUGUGCUUGAGACCAAGAAUAUCCGUCCCUGCAUAUUAUUGAGUCUCUUCCAAGAGUGCCUUUUCCAGUCAGUCUCCCCUCAUACCGCGAUUUAGGGAGACCUAGCUUGUUAAGGCCAGGAAUGAAGUCAACACAAAACCCGAUAACAUCCUCUGUUUGAUGGCCCAUGGAGAUGCUUCCUUCUGGCCUAGCGCGAUUACGGACAUAUUUCUUUAGGACUCCCAUGAACCUCUCAAAGGGGAACAUAUUGUGUAGAAAUACGGGCCCCAGGAUGACAAUCUCGUCGACUAGAUGAACUAGGACAUGCGUCAUGAUAUUGAAGAAGGAUGGUGGGAACACCAGCUCGAAACUGACAAGACAUUGCGCCACAUCACUCCUUAGCCUUGGUACGAUUUCUGGAUCGAUCACCUUCUAAGAGAUUGCAUUGAGGAAUGCACAUAGCUUCACAAUGGCUAAUCGGACGUUUUCCGAUAGAAGCCCCCUCAAUGCAACCGGAAGCAGUUGCGUCAUAAUCACGUGGCAGUCAUGAGACUUUAGGUUCUGAAACUUUUUCUCUGGCAUAUUUAUUAUUCCCUUUAUAUUCGACGAGAAUCCAGUCGUGACCUUCAUACUGAGUAGGCAUUCAAAGAAGAUUUCUUUCUCUUCUUUCGUAAGAGCGUAGCUGGCAGGACCUUUAUACUGCUUUGGAGGCAUGCCGUCUUUUUUGUGCAAACGUUGCAGGUCCUCCCGUGCCUCAGGUGUAUCUUUUGUCUUCCCAUACACGCCCAAGAAGCCUAGCAGGUUCACGCAAAGGUUCUUCGUCACGUGCAUCACAUCGAUUGAGGAGCGGACAUCUAGGUCUUUCCAGUAGGGUAGGUCCCAAAAUAUAGAUUUCUUCUUCCACAUGGGUGCGUGUCCCACAGCGUCAUUCGGAACAGCUAGUCCACCGGGACCCUUUCCAAAGAUUACGUGGUGUAAAUCAUUGACCAUAGCAAGCACGUGAUCACCGGUGCGCAUGGCGGGCUUCUUCCGGUGAUCUGCCUCGCCUUUGAAAUGCUUGCCUUUCUUUCGACAUUGAUGGUUGGUCGGAAGAAAUCGACGAUGGCCCAGGUACACAUUCUUCCUGCAUUUGUCCAGGUAUAUACUUUCAGUGUCAUCUAAACAGUGCGUGCAUGUAUGGUAUCCUUUGUUUGUCUGUCCUGAAAGGUUACUGAGAGCGGGCCAAUCAUUGAUGGUCACGAACAGCAACGCCUUAAGGUUAAAUUCCUUCUGUAUGUGCUCAUCCCACGUACGUACACCGUUUUCAUUCCACAGCUAUAAAAGUUCUUCAACUAAUGGCCUUAGGUACACAUCAAUUUCGUUGCCGGGUUGCUUAGGGCCUUGGAUGAGAACUGGCAUCAUAAUGAACUUCCGCUUCAUGCACAUCCAAGGAGGAAGGUUAUGAAGGGUUUCAUAGUAAUUUCAAAAAUUUCCUACGCUCAUGCAAGAUCAUGGUGAUGCAUAGCAACGAGAGGGGAGAGUAUGAUCUAUGUACCUUGUAGAUCGACAACGGAAGCGUUUGGUUGAUGUAGUCGUACGUCUCCACGGCUCGACCGAUCAAGCACCGAAACUACGGCACCUCCGAGUUCUAGCACACGUUCAGCUCGAUGACGAUCCCCGGACUCCGAUCCAGCAAAGUGUCGGGGAAGAGUUCCGUUAGCACGACGGCGUGGUGACGAUCUUGAUGUACUACUACAGCAGGGCUUCGCCUAAGCACCGCUACAAUAUUAUCGAGGACUAUGGUGGAAGGGGGCACCGCACACGGCUAAGAAUAUGAUCAUGUGGAUCAACUUGUUGUUCUCUGGGGUGCCCCUGCCUCCGUAUAUAAAGGACCAAGGGGGGGGGAGGCCGGCCGGCCAUCAUAGGCGCGCCCGGAGGAGUCCUACUCCCUCCGGGAGUAGGACUUCUCCCCCAAUCCUAGUUGGAAUAGGAUUCGCGAGGUGGGAAAAGAGAGAGAGAGAAGGAGGGGGGCGCCGGCCCCCUCUCUCCUUGUCCUAUUCGGACUAGGGGGGAGGGGUGCGCGGCCCAGCCCUGGCUGCCUCUCCUCUUCUUCCACUAAGGCCCAUUAAGGCCCAUAUAGCUCCUGGGGGGUUCCGGUAACCUCCCGGUACUCCGGUAAAAUCCCGAUUUCACCCAGAACACUUCCGAUAUCCAAACAUAGGCUUCCAAUAUAUCAAUCUUUAUGUCUCGACCAUUUCGAGACUCCUCGUCAUGUCUGUGAUCACAUCCGGGACUCCGAACAACCUUCGGUACAUCAAAAUGCAUAAACUCAUAAUAUAACUGUCAUCGUAACCUUAAGCGUGCGGACCCUACGGGUUCGAGAACAAUGUAGACAUGACCGAGACACGUCUCCGGUCAAUAACCAAUAGCGGGACCUGGAUGCCCAUAUUGGCUCCUACAUAUUCUACGAAGAUCUUUAUCGGUCAGACCGCAUAACAACAUACGUUGUUCCCUUUGUCAUCGGUAUGUUACUUGCCCGAGAUUCGAUCGUCGGUAUCCUAUACCUAGUUCAAUCUCGUUACCGGCAAGUCUCUUUACUCGUUCUGUAAUACAUCAUCCCGCAACUAACUCAUUAGUUGCAAUGCUUGCAAGGCUUAAGUGAUGUGCAUUACCGAGAGGGCCCAGAGAUACCUCUCUGACAAUCGGAGUGACAAAUCCUAAUCUCGAAAUACGCCAACCCAACAUGUACCUUUGGAGACACCUGUAGAGCUCCUUUAUAAUCACCCAGUUACGUUGUGACGUUUGGUAGCACACAAAGUGUUCCUCUGGCAAACGGGAGUUGCAUAAUCUCAUAGUCAUAGGAACAUGUAUAAGUCAUGAAGAAAGCAAUAGCAACAUACUAAACGAUCGGGUGCUAAGCUAAUGGAAUGGGUCAUGUCAAUCAGAUCAUUCAACUAAUGAUGUGAUCCUGUUAAUCAAAUGACAACUCUUUGUCCAUGGUUUAGGAAACAUAACCAUCUUUGAUUAACAAGCUAGUCUAGCAGGCAUACUAGUGACACUCUGUUUGUCUAUGUAUUCACACAUGUAUUAUGUUUCCGGUUAAUACAAUUCUAGCAUGAAUAAUAAACUUUUAUCGUGAUAUAAGGAAAUAAAUAAUAACUUUAUUUUUGCCUCUAGGGCAUAUUUCCUUCAGUCUCCCACUUGCACUAGAGUCAAUAAUCUAGAUUACACAGUAAUGAUUCUAACACCCAUGGAGUCUUGGUGCUGAUCAUGUUUUGCUCAUGGAAGAGGCUUAGUCAACGGGUCUGCAACAUUCAGAUCCAUAUGUAUCUUGCAAAUCUCUAUGUCUCCCACCUGGACUAGAUCCCGGAUGGAAUUGAAGCGUCUCUUGAUGUGCUUGGUUCUCUUGUGAAAUCUGGAUUCCUUCGCCAAGGCAAUAGCACCAGUAUUGUCACAAAAGAUUUUUCAUUGGACCCGAUGCACUAGGUACGAUACCUAGAUCGGAUAUGAACUCCUUCAUCUAGACUCCUUCAUUUGCUGCUUCCGAAGCAGCUAUGUAUUCCGCUUCACACGUAGAUCCCGCCACGACACUUUGUUUAGAACUGCACCAACUGACAGCUCCACCGUUUAAUGUAAACACGUAUCCGGUUUGCGAUUUAGAAUCGUCUGGAUCAGUGUCAAAGCUUGCAUCAACGUAACCGUUUACGAUGAGCUCUUUGUCACCUCCAUAUAUGAGAAACAUAUCCUUAGUCCUUUUCAGGUACUUCAGGAUGUUCUUGACCGCUGUCCAGUGAUCCACUCCUGGAUUACUUUGGUACCUCCCUGCUAGACUUAUAGCAAGGCACACAUCAAGUCUGGUACACAGCAUUGCAUACAUGAUAGAGCCUAUGGCUGAAGCAUAGGGAACAUCUUUCAUCUUCUCUCUAUCUUAUGCAGUGGUCGGGCAUUGAGUCUUACUCAACUUCACACCUUGUAACACAGGCUAGAACCCUUUCUUUGCUUGAUCCAUUUUGAACUUCUUCAAAAUCUUGUCAAGGUAUGCGCUUUGUGAAAGUCCAAUUAAACGUCUCGAUCUAUCUCUAUAGAUCUUUAUGCCUAAUAUGUAAGCAGCUUCACCGAGGUCUUUCAUUGAAAAACUCUUAUUCAAGUAUCCUUUUAUGCUAUCCAGAAAUUAUAUAUCAUUUCCAAUCAGUAAUAUGUCAUCCACAUAUAAUAUCAGAAAUGCUACAGAGCUCCCACUCACUUUCUUGUAAAUACAGGCUUCUCCAAAAGUCUAUAUAAAACCAAAUGCUUUGAUCACACUAUCAAAGCGUUUAUUCCAACUCCGAGAGGCUUGCACCAGUCCAUAAAUGGAUCGCUGGAGCUUGCACACUUUGUUAGCUCCCUUUGGAUCGACAAAACCUUCCGGUUGCAUCAUAUACAACUCUUCUUCCAGAAAUCCAUUCAGGAAUGCAGUUUUGACAUCCAUCUGCCAAAUUUCAUAAUCAUAAAAUGCGGCAACUGCUAACAUGAUUCGGACAGACUUAAGCAUCUCUACGGGUGAGAAGGUCUCAUCGUAGUCAAUCCCUUGAACUUGCCAAAACCCUUUUGCGACAAGUCGAGCUUUGUAGACAGUAAUAUUACCGCCGGCGUCAGUCUUCUUCUUGAAGAUCCAUUUAUUCUCAAUUGCUUGCCGAUCAUUGGGCAAGUCAACCAAAGUCCACACUUUGUUCUCAUACAUGGAUCACAUCUCAGAUUUCAUGGCUUCAAGCCAUUUUGCAGAAUCUGGGCUCACCAUCGCUUCUUCAUAGUUCGUAGGUUCAUCAUGAUCUAAUAGCAUGACUUCCAGAACAGGAUUGCCGUACCACUCUGGUGCGGAUCUUACUCUGGUUGAUCUAUGAGGUUCAGUAGUAUCUUGUUCUGAAGUUUCAUGAUCAUUAUCAUUAGCUUCCUCACUAAUUGGUGUAGGUGUCACAGAAACAGUUUUCUGUGAUGCACUACUUUCCAAUAAGGGAGCAGGUACAGUUACCUCGUCAAGUUCUACUUUCCUCCCACUCACUUCUUUCGAGAGAAACUCCUUCUCUAGAAAGUUUCCGAACUUAGCAAUAAAAGUCUUGCCUUCGGAUCUGUGAUAGAAGGUGUAUCCAAUAGUCUCCUUUGGAUAUCCUAUGAAGAAACAUUUCUCUGAUUUGGGUUCGAGCUUAUCAGGUUGAAGCUUUUUCACAUAAGCAUCGCAGCCCCAAACUUUCAGAAACGACAACUUUGGUUUCUUGCCAAACCAUAGUUCAUAAGGCGUCGUCUCAACGGAUUUUGAUGGUGCCCUAUUUAACGUGAAUGCGGCCGUCUCCAAAGCAUAACCCCAAAACGAUAGCGGUAAAUCAGUAAGAGACAUCAUAGAUCGCACCAUAUCCAGUAAAGUACGAUUACGACGUUCGGACACACCAUUACGCUGUGGUGUUCCGGGUGGCGUGAGUUGCGAAACUAUUCCGCAUUGUUUCAAACACCAAACUCGUAACUCAAAUAUUCUCCUCCACGAUCAGAUCGUAGAAACUUUUAUUUUCUUGUUACGAUGAUUUUCAACUUCACUCUGAAAUUCUUUGAACUUUUCAAACGAUUCAGACUUAUGUUUCAUUAAGUAGAUAUACCCAUAUCUGCUUAAGUCAUCUGUGAAGGUGAGAAAAUAACGAUAUCUGCCACGAGCCUCAAUAUUCAUCGGACCACAUACAUCUGUAUGUAUGAUUUCCAACAAAUCUGUUGCUCUCUCCAUAGUACCGGAGAACGGCGUUUUAGUCAUCUUGCCCAUGAGGCACGGUUCGCAAGUACCAAGUGAUUCAUAAUCAAGUGGUUCCAAAAGUCCAUCAGUAUGGAGUUUCUUCAUGCACUUUACACCGAUAUGACCUAAACGGUAGUGCCACAAAUCAGUUGCACUAUCAUUAUCAACUCUGCAUCUUUUGGUUUCAACAUUAUGAAUAUGUGUGUUACUACUAUUGAGAUUCAAUAAGAAUAGACCACUCUUCAAGGGUGCAUGACCAUAAAAGAUAUUACUCAUAUAAAUAGAACAACCAUUAUUCUCUGAUUUAAAUGAAUAACCGUCUCACAUCAAACAAGAUCCAGAUAUAAUGUGCAUGCUUAACGCUGGCACCAAAUAUCAAUUAUUUAGGUCUAAUAUUAAUCCCGAAGGCAGAUGUAGAGGUAGCGUGCCGACCGCGAUCACAUCGACUUUGGAACCGUUUCCCACGCGCAUCGUCACCUUGUCCUUAGCCAAUCUUCGCUUAAUCCGUAGUCCCUGUUUCGUGUUGCAAAUAUUAGCAACAGAACCGGUAUCAAAUACCCAGGUGCUACUGCAAGCAUUAGUAAGGUACACAUCAAUAACAUGUAUAUCACAUAUACCUUUGUUCACCUUGCCAUCCUUCUUAUCCGCCAAAUACUUGGGGCAGUUCCGCUUCCAGUGACCAGUCUGCUUGCAGUGGAAGCACUCAGUUUCAGGCUUAGGUCCAGACUUGGGUUUCUUCUCUUGAGCAGCAACUUGUUUGCUGUUCUCCUUGAAGUUCCCCUUCUUCUUCCAUUUGCCCUUUUUCUUGAAACUAGUGGUCUUGUUGACCAUCAACACUUGAUGCUCCCUUUUGAUUUCUACCUCCGCAGCUUUCAGCAUUGCGAAGAGCUCGGGAAUAGUCUUAUUCAUCCCUUGCAUAUUAUAGUUCAUCACGAAGCUCUUGUAGCUUGGUGGCAGUGAUUGGAGAAUUCUGUCAAUGACACAAUCAUCUGGAAGAUUAACUCCCAUCUGAAUCAAGUGAUUAUUAUACCCAGACAUUUUGAGUAUAUGCUCACUGACAGAACUGUUCUCCUCCAUCUUGCAGCUAUAGAACUUAUUGGAGACUUCAUAUCUCUCAAUCCGGGCAUUUGCUUGAAAUAUUAACUUCAACUCCUGGAACAUCUCAUAUGCUCCAUGACGUUCAAAACGUCGUUGAAGUCCCGAUUCUAAGCCGUAAAGCAUGGCACACUGAACUAUCGAGUAGUCAUCAGCUUUGCUCUGCCAGACGUUCACAACAUCUGGUGUUGCUCCAGUAGCAGGCCUGGCACCCAGCGGUGCUUCCAGGACGUAAUUCUUCUGUGCAGCAAUGAGGAUAAUCCUCAAGUUACGGACCCAGUCCGUGUAAUUGCUACCAUCAUCUUUCAACUUUGCUUUCUAAAGGAACGCAUUAAAAUUCAACGGAACAACAACACGGGCCAUUUAUCUACAAUCAUAUAUAAGCAAGAUACUAUCAGGUACUAAGUUCAUGAUAAAUUUAGGUUCAAUAAAUCAUAUUACUUAAAGAACUCCCACUUAGAUAGACAUCCCUCUAAUCCUCUAAGUGAUUACGUGAUCCAAAUCAACUAAACCAUGUCUGAUCAUCACGUGAGAUGGAGCAGUUUCAUUGGUGAACAUCACUAUGUUGAUCAUAUCUACUAUAUGAUUCAUGCUCGACCUUUUGGUCUCCGUGUUCCGAGGCCAUAUCUGUAUAUGCUUGGCUCGUCAAGUAUAACCUGAGUAUUCCGCGUGUGCAACUAUUUUGCACCCGUUGUAUUUGAACGUAGAGCCUAUCACACCCGAUCAUCACGUGGUGUCUCAGCACGAAGAACUUUCGCAACGGUGCAUACUCAGGGAGAACACUUCUUGAUAAUUUAGUGAGAGAUCAUCUUAUAAUGCUACCGUCAAUCAAAGCAAGAUAAGAUGCAUAAAAGAUAAGCAUCACAUGCAAUCACAUCACAACAUGCCCUUGCAAAAACAAGUUAGACGUCCUCUACUUUGUUGUUGCAUGUUUUACGUGGCUGCUACGGGCUCAAGCAAGAACCAAUCUUACCUACGCAUCAAAACCACAAUGAUAGUUUGUCAAGUUGGUGUUGUUUUAACCUUCGCAAGGACCGGGCGUAGCCACACUCAGUUCAACUAAAGUUGGAGAAACUAUCACCCGCAAGCCACCUAUGUGCAAAGCACGUCGGGAGAACCGGUCUCGCGUAAGCGUACGCGUAAUGUCAGUCCGGGCCGCUUCAUCCAACAAUACCACCGAACCAAAGUAUGACAUGCUGGUAAGCAAUAUGACUUAUAUCACCCACAACUCACUUGUGUUCUACUUGUGCAUAUAACAUCAACAUGUAAAACCUAGGCUCGGAUGCCACUGAAGGGUUUCAUAGUAAUUUCAAAAUUUUCCUACGCUCAUGCAAGAUCAUGGUGAUGCAUAGCAACGAGAGGGGAGUGUAUGAUCUACGUACCUUGUAGAUCGACAACGGAAGCGUUUGGUUGAUGUAGUCGUACGUCUCCACAGCUCGACCGAUCAAGCACCGAAACUACGGCACCUCCGAGUUCUAGCACACGUUCAGCUCGAUGACGAUCCCCGGACUCCGAUCCAGCAAAGUGUCGGGGAAGAGUUCCGGUAGCACGAUGGCGUGGUGACGAUCUUGAUGUACUACUACAGUAGGGCCUCGCCUAAGCACCGCUACAAUAUUAUCGAGGACUAUGGUGGAAGGGGGCACCGCACAUGGCUAAGAAUAUGAUCACGUGGAUCAACUUGUUGUUCUCUGGGGUGCCCCUGCCUCCGUAUAUAAAGGACCAAGGGGGGAGGCCGGCCGGCCAUCAUAGGCGCGCCAGGAGGAGUCCUACUCCCUCCGGGAGUAGGACUUCUCCCCCAAUCCUAGUUGGAAUAGGAUUCGCGAGGUGGGAAAAUAGAGAGAGAGAAGGAGGGGGGCGUCGGCCCCCUCUCUCUUUGUCCUAUUCGGACUAGGGGGGAGGGGCGCGUGGCCCAGCCCUGGCUGCCUCUCCUCUUCUUCCACUAAGGCCCAUUAAGGCCCAUAUAGCUCCCGGGGGGUUCCGGUAACCUCCCGGUACUCCGGUAAAAUCCCGAUUUCACCCGGAACACUUCCGAUAUCCAAACAUAGGCUUCCAAUAUAUCAAUCUUUAUGUCUAGACCAUUUCGAGACUCCUCGUCAUGUCCGUGAUCACAUCCGGGACUCCGAACAACCUUCGGUACAUCAAAAUGCAUAAACUCAUAAUAUAACUAUCAUCGUAACCUUAAGCGUGUGGACCCUACGGGUUCGAGAACAAUGUAGACAUGACCAAGACACGUCUCCGGUCAAUAACCAAUAGUGGGACCUGGAUGCCCAUAUUGGCUCCUACAUAUUCUACGAAGAUCUUUAUCGGUCAGACCGCAUAACAACAUACGUUGUUCCCUUUGUCAUCGGUAUGUUACUUGCCCGAGAUUCGAUCGUCGGUAUCCUAUACCUAGUUCAAUCUCGUUACCGGCAAGUCUCUUUACUCGUUCUGUAAUACAUCAUCCCGCAACUAACUCAUUAGUUGCAAUGCUUGUAAGGCUUAAGUGAUGUGCAUUACCGAGAGGGCCCAGAGAUACCUCUCCGACAAUCGGAGUGACAAAUCCUAAUCUCGAAAUACGCCAACCCAACAUGUACCUUUGGAGACACCUGUAGAGCUCCUUUAUAAUCACCCAGUUACGUUGUGACAUUUGGUAGCACACAAAGUGUUCCUUUGGCAAACGGGAGUUGUAUAAUCUCAUAGUCAUAGGAACAUGUAUAAGUCAUGAAGAAAGCAAUAGCAACAUACUAAACGAUCGGGUGCUAAGCUAAUGGAAUGGGUCAUGUCAAUCAGAUCAUUCAACUAAUGAUGUGAUCCUAUUAAUCAAAUGACAACUCUUUGUCCAUGGUUUAGGAAACAUAACCAUCUUUGAUUAACAAGCUAGUCUAGUAGAGGCAUACUAGUGACACUCUGUUUGUCUAUGUAUUCACACAUGUAUUAUGUUUCCGGUUAAUACAAUUCUAGCAUGAAUAAUAAACUUUAUCAUGAUAUAAGGAAAUAAAUAAUAACUUUAUUAUUGCCUCUAGGGUAUAUUUCCUUUAGGUUAUACAUAGAGUCACGGGCCAGGUGCUGUGAUUGCUGCUCUGCUCCCCGAAAGGAUUAAUGCCAUCCGCGCUUAAAGCAAACCAUACAUUCCUUGGGUCCUUUGCAAACUCAUCCCAGUACUUUCUCUCGAUUUUUCUCCACUGCGACCCGUCAGCGGGUGCUCUCAACUUCCCAUCUUUCUUUCGGUUCUCACUGUGCCAUCGCAUCAACUUGGCAUGCUCUUCGUUUUUGAAUAGACGUUUCUACCGUGGUAUUAUAGAAGCAUACCACAUCACCUUCGCAGGAACCCUCUUCCUGGGGGGCUCGCCGUCAACAUCACCAGGGUCAUCUCGUCUGAUCUUAUACCGCAAUGCACCGCAUACCGGGCAUGCCUUCAGAUCCUUGUAUGCACCGCGGUAGAGGAUGCAGUCAUUAGGGCAUGCAUGUAUCUUCUCCACCUCCAAUCCUAGAGGGCAUACGACCUUCUUUGUUGUGUAUGUAAUGUCGGGCAAUUCGUUAUCCUUUGGAAGCUUCUUCUUCAAUAUUUUCAGUAGCUUCUCAAAUCCUUUAUCAGCCACAACAUUCUCUGCCUUCCACUGCAGCAAUUCCAGUACGGUACCGAGCUUUGUGUUGCCAUAUUCGCAAUUAGGGUAUAACCCUUUUUUGUGAUCCUCUAACAUGCGAUCGAACUUCAGCUUCUCCUUUUGACUAAUGCAUUGCGUCCUUGCAUCGACAAUGACCCGGCGGAGAUUAUCAUCAUCGGGCACAUUGUCUGGUUCCUCUUGAUCUUCAGCAGCUUCACCCGUUGCAGCAUCAUUGGGCACAUCAUCUGGUUCCUCUUGAUCUUCACCAGCUCCCCCCAUUGCAGCAUCACCGUAUUCAGGGGGCACAUAGUUGUCAUCAUAGUCUUCUUCUUCGCCGUCUUCCAUCAUAACCCCUAUUUCUCCGUGCCUCGUCCAAACAUUAUAGUGUGGCAUGAAACCCUUGUAAAGCAGGUGGGAGUGAAGGAUUUUUCCGGUUAGAGUAAGACCUCGUAUUCCCACAUUCAGUGCAUGGACAACACAUAAAACCAUUCUGCUUGUUUGCCUCAGCCGCAUCGAGAAACUCAUGCACGCCCUUAAUGUACUCGCGGGUGUGUCUGUCACCGUACAUCCAUUGCCGGUUCAUCUUCGUGCAUUAUAUAUAAUUAAGUGUCCAAACUAAUAGAAGUUCAUCAUCACAUUAAAACCAAAGUGCAUACAUAGUUCUCAUCUAACAACAUAUAGCUCUCCAGAGCAUCUAAUUAAUUAAACCAUACAUUGAAACUAUGUAAAACAUUUCAAUGCGAAAACAAAUGCGAUCAUAAUCGCAACCAAGGUAACAAUUGAUCCAACGGCAUAAUGAUACCAAGCCUCGGUAUGAAUGGCAUAUUUUCUAAUCUUUCUAAUCUUCAAGCGCAUUGCAUCCAUCUUGAUCUUGUGAUCAUCGACGACAUCCGCAACAUGCAACUCCAAUAUCAUCUUCUCCUCCUCAAUUUUUUUUAUUUUUUCCUUCAAAAAAUUGUUUUCUUCUUCAACUAAAUUUAACCUCUCGACAAUAGGGUCGGUUGGCAUUUCCGAUUCACAUACAUCCUAGAUAAAUAAAAUCUAUGUCACGUUGGUCGGCAUAAUUUUCAUAAACAAUAAAUGAACCAAUAGUUAUAAAGAUAAUAUACAUACCACAUCCGAAUCAUAGACAGGACGAGGGCUGACGGGGGCGGAUACCAAAACCAUCGCACUAUAUAAGAUGCAAUAAUAAAUGUAAGAAAAUGAUACAAGUAUCUAUCUAAACAUACAAGUAAGAAUAAUUUUCCUUUCAGAAAGAAGAUAAGAACAAGAGGCUCACCACGGUGGUGUAGGUGAUGAGAUCGGCGCGGGUGAUCGACGGCGGUGAAGAUGGGGAUGGGGCGUGACAGACCGCUAAAUCUAGACAAAUCUCGAGGAAAAUGGAGCUUGGAGGUCGAGCUUCGAGAGGAGAAAGCUUAAGUAGUGUGGCUCGGGCAUUCCAUCGAACACCUCAUGUGCAUAGGAGGUGAGCUAGAGCACCACAAAGCCCUCUCCCCCUCGGCCAGAGAAAAACAGAGCACUGGGGUGCUCUGCUCACGAGCGAGGGGUAUAUAUAGGCACCUCAUUGGUCCCGGUUGGUGACAUGAGCCGGGACUAAAGGGGAGCCUUUGGUACCGGUUCAAGCCACCAACCGGGACCAAUGGUGGUGGGCCAGGAGCGAGGCCCAUUGGUCCCGGUUUAUCCCACCAACCGGGACCAAAAGGUCCAGAUGAACCGGGACCAAUGGCCCACGUGGCCCGGCCGGCCCCCUGGGCUCACGAACCGGGACCAAUGCCCACAUUGGUCCCGGUUCUGGACUGAACCGGGACUAAUGGGCUGACCCGGCCUGGACCAAAGCCCUGUUUUUUACUAGUGACACUUGUAACAAUCGACAAAGGUCAGUUACAUGGCUCACUCUAUGUAAGCCCUACCUCUGUAACAAGGGGUCUGUCAGGGUUACGAUCCUGACAAUAAGUACUAGGGGUACGAAAGAGGCCUAGCUACAGCGCAUGUGUAACACUCGGUGUUUAACGAGUUCAGGCCCCUCUCAGAUGAGGUAAUAGCCCUACGUCUCAUGCCUUGAGCCUUUGUUUUCUUGAGAGGUAUGAUUACAGAGAUUGCUUAACCCUUGUACAUGAGGAGGGGCAACUUAUAUAGAGUGCGUCGUUGACCCGCCAUUCCCAUGUCGCAAGGGUGAAUUUAAUGUUGACGUGGGCAUCCAUGUCAUAGCUGAGAGUUUCAAAACAACUACAUGCUCAUCUGAUCAUGCGAACAAGAAGCAGAUUAUUUGUGUUGGAAAAAUCCCUAUUGAGCUUGUUGCACCAGAUGAAGUUAAGCCAACAUUUAGAACUCCAUGUGUUGUACACACGUUGUGGUAGGAAAUAUACGAGUCAAGUUUGAUUCGGUUUGGUAUAGGUGCAGUAUACAUGAGUCAAGUCUUUGGUCUAGUACUAGUUACGUGGUUAUCUUAGUCUCCUAGGUGAUUAAGAUGGCCGGAUAAUUAAUUAGUUAAAUUCCUUGGUUAGUUUGAAUAGGAGAUAGAGUCCGUAUCUAUCUUGGGUGCUUUAGUCGGUUUGGUCAGAUUGGUGUCGCCUAUAUAACAGGCAGGCUUCGGCCGUGUAUCCAGUUUUUUUGAGUUUUUUUGUUUUAGUGGUGAGAUCAAUAAAAUUACAGAAAACGUCCCAUGUUGGGGGAUACCAAAUAUCUUUGUUGCUGAUCCGAGUGGAUUUUGUUGCUGCUGCGUGUGGAGUCGAUCCAAUCUACUCGACACAAGUUUCUGAUUUUAAGGUCUUGCAUCUUUGCUCGACCGAAAUUUCUUGUUGCUACUGCUAGUACCGUGAAAGAUCGGGACGUCGAACGACUCGCCAUCUAGUCGAGUCUACAUCAAGUGGUAUUCAAAGCUAAUGUUGUUCACGGUACUAUGUUGAUCAAGAUGUCAACCUCGGUCAACAAGGGUGAUGAGGUUGCUGCUGAUUCUGAGGAAAUAGUAUGUCCAGUGUAUGCGGAUAAUAUUCCGCAAAAUAUUCGGAAUGGUUUUGACCACACAUUCAACUACAUCAAGCAAUGUCAUGAUGCGCUCGGCAGAAGGAUAGAUGUCUUGAUCACUCGGUUUGAUGGUUUCGCGGACAUCAUCAAUAUGCCGGCGACGAAUUUUGCCCCACCACAGACUGCUCCGGCGGCUCCACUGCAUUAUGCACCACCUGCUCGCGAUGGACAUGCCGGUGUGCAUGAUCGCCAUUUGGCAGCACAACCUCAUGCUGGAGAUGAUGAUCUCGAUGAUGGCGUUGACCAGGUGGGGUACGCGCCACGACCAAGACACUAUGAGUCUCGUCCUGAAACUUCUGUUUGUGGUGGAGUGCAUGACCGAGUUGGUCAAGCUGUGCGUGUGCCUUUGGAUGAUGGAAUUGGGUGCAUAAAAAUUUCGAUCCCUUCGUUCUCCGGCAAGUGUGAACCAGAAGGCUAUUUGGAGUGGGAGAUGCGUGUUGAUCAAAUAUUUGAUGCCCAUCAUUAUAGCGAGGAGAAGAAAGUUCAACUUGCUGGAAUUGAGUUCACCGGUUAUGCGCUAAUUUGGUGGAAUCAAAUUUGUCAUUCAAGACAUCGCCCGACGACUUGGUGAGGUAUGAAAGAAUUCAUGAGGCGGCGUUUUGUUCCUGAGCACUAUAAAAGAGAUAUGUACAACAAGUUGCAGCAGCUCUCUCAGGGUAAUAUGAGUGUUGAUGAAUAUUACAAGGAGAUGGAAUUGCUUAUGAUACGUACAGGGACAACGGAGGAUCCGGAGGCGACUAUGGCACGUUUCUUUAAUGGUCUAAAUAUUGAGGUGCAGGAUCGUGUUGAGAUGGUGGUCUAUUACAACAUACAAGAUCUUGUGCACCAAGCUGUGCGGGCGGAACAACAGAUUAUGCGACGCCAAGUCAGCACAGUUCCUAGUACCACUUUGAACACAUGGCGACGCUCGCAACAUAAGAGUGAGGAUGUCGGUCCUAGCUCUAGGACAGCGACAUCUAAUCGCCCUCAAGCUUCCGUGCAAAAGGAUGCUUUAAAAUCAGGAUUGCCGAGAGUUGAUUCUAGUGCGCAGUCAGCCACACGUACUAGUAAUAUAGAGUGUUUCAAGUGUGGAGGAAGGGGGCAUAUGAGACGUGAAUGUCCUAAUGAGAAAAGAGUGUUGCUCACAAGAGAUGGCUAUGCAUCCGCUAGUGAUGAAGAGGCAGUUUCUGACACUUCUAGUGCAAAAUCUGAAGAUGUUGAAAAUGUGGUUGCGAGUUUUGAAGCUGCUGAAUCAUAUCCGUCUUUGAUGGUGCAGCGAGUGCAAGAGGAUCGCAUUGAGGACAAGGGUCAACAUUGGAAUAUUUUUCAAACUCAAUGCCAAAUCAACAACACCAAUUGUAAGUUAAUUAUAGAUGGAGGAAGCUACACCAAUGCGGUCAGCAAGGGAUUGGUGGAAGCUUUGGGGUUACCUGCAUGGAAGCACCCACAACCACACUGCAUCGAGUGGUUAUAUCAGUCCGGCGGACUAAAAAUUACUCAUAAGGUGCGUCUCAAUUUUUCGGUUGGUGACUAUACCGACACAGUGAUUUGUGAUGUUUUACUGAUGGAUGCAUGUCAUUUGUUGCUGGGGAGACCUCGGCAAUAUGAUCAUCAUGCCACACAUGAUGGAAGGUCCAACACUUAUUGUUUUCGGAAUGCCGGAAGACGAUAUGUGCUACAACCAAUGUUUGCUAAUGCUGUUAAGGAGGAUGAUAUUCUUUCAGUAAAGAAGGAGGUCUCUAAAACCACCACGCAGCUGAGGAUGGCUUCGUUACAAGGAGGAGGGGAUGCUGUGGGCAUCCAUGUCAUAGCUGGGAGUUUCAAAACAACUACAUGCUCAUCUGAUCAUGCGAACAAGAAGCAGAUUAUUUGUGUUGAAAAAAUCCCUAUUGAGCUUGUUGCACCAGAUGAAGUUAAGCCAACAUUUAGAACUCCAUGUGCUGUACACACGUUGUGGUAGGAAAUAUACGAGUCAAGUUUGAUUCGGUUUGGUAUAGGUGUAGUAUACGUGAGUCAAGUCUUUGGUCUAGUACUAGUUAUGUGGUUAUCUUAGUCUCCUAGGUGAUUAAGAUGGCCGGAUAAUUAAUUAGUUAAAUUCCUUGGUUAGUUUGAAUAGGAGAUAGAGUCCGUAUCUAUCUUGGGUGCUUUAGUCGGUUUGGUCAGAUUGGUGUCGCCUAUAUAACAGGCAGGCUUCGGCCGUGUAUCCAGUUUUUUUGAGUUUUUUUUGUUUUAGUGGUGAGAUCAAUAAAAUUACAGAAAACGUCCCAUGUUGGGGGACACCAAAUAUCUUUGUUGCUGAUCCGAGUGGAUUUUGUUGCUGCUGCGUGUGGAGUCGAUCCAAUCUACUCGACACAAGUUUUUGAUCUUACGGUCUUGCAUCUUUGCUCGACCGAAAUUUCUUGUUGCUACUGCUAGUACCGUGAAAGAUCGGGACGUCAAACGACUCGCCAUCUAGUCGAGUCUACAUCAAAUGCCGUAACUACGGCAGUUACAUGUAUAAAUGGCCACAACUACAACAGUUACAGGUAACGGUUGUAGGGAAAUGUAGCAUGCAAUUUCAAAAAAAUUCCUACGCUCAUGCAAGAUCUGUCUAGGAGAUGCAUAGCAACGAGAGGUGGAGAGUGUGUCCACAUACCCUCGUAGACCAAAAGCGGAAGCGUUUGAUAACGCAGUUGAUGUAGUCGAAGUUCUUCUAGAUCUGACCGAUCAAGCACCGAACGUACGGGACCUCCGAGUUCUGCACACUUCAGCUCGAUGAUGUCCCUCGUCCUCUUGAUCCAGCAAAGGUGUCGAGGAAGAAGAUGAGUUCCGUCAGCACGACGGUGUAGAGACGGUGAUGGUGAAGUGAUCCGCGUAGGGCUUCGCCUAAGCACUAGGAAGAUAUAACCGGAGGCGUAAACUAUGGAGGGGCGCCACACACGGCUAACAAUUGUUGGUGUGUGAUCUAGGCGCCCACUCCCCACGUAUAUAUAGGUGGGAGGGGAGGGGAGCAACCUUGGGGUGCCCCAAGUAGGAGGAAUCCUACUUGAGGGCCUAGUCCAAUCCCCCCUCCCCUUCCAUAUUUCCGGAGAGGAAAAAGGGAAGAGGAAGGGGAGAAGGAAAGGGGGGCCGAACCCCCUCUUUUUCCUUUCCCCACUCGGCCUCCUUCCUUUGGGGGGGGCGUGCCACCCUUGUGGGCUGGUGUGCUCCCCUUCUAUGGCCCAUGUGGCCCAUAUCUUUCCCCUGGGGGGUUCCGGUAACCCCCUGGUAGACCGAUAAAUACCCGAUACACUUUGAAACACUUCUGGUGUCCGAAUACUAUCAUCAUAUAUAUCAAUCUUUACCUAUCGACCAUUACGAGACUCCUCGUCAUGUCCGUGAUCUCAUCCGAGACUCUGAAAAAACAUUCGGUCACCAAAUCACAUAACUCAUAUAAUACUAAAUCAUCAUCGAACGUUAAGCGUGCGGACCCUACGGGUUCGAGAACUAAGUAGACAUGACCGAGACACCUCUCCGGUCAAUAACCAAUAGAGGAACCUGGAUGCUCGUAUUGGUUCCUACAUAUUCUACGAAGAUCUUUAUCGGUCGAACCAUAAUGACAACAUACGUUAUUCCCUUUGUCAUCGGUAUGUUACUUGCCCGAGAUUCGAUCGUCGGUAUCUCCAUACCUAGUUCAAUCUCAUUACCGGCAAGUCCCUUUACUCGUUCCAUAAUACAUCAUCUCACAACUAACUCAUUAGUCACUUUUCUUACAAGGCUUCUUAUGAUGUGCAUUACCGAGAGGGCCCAGAGAUACAUCUCCGAUACUCGGAGUGACAAAUCCUAAUCUCGAUCUAUGCCAACCCAACAAACACCUUCGGAGAUACCUGUAGAGCAUCUUUAUAAUCAUCCAGUUAUGUUGUGACGUGUGAUAGCACACAAGGUAUUCCUCUGGUAUCCGGGAGUUGCAUAAUCUCAUAGUCAAAGGAAUAUGUAUUUGACAUGAAUAAAGUAGUAGCAAUAAAACUGAACGAUCAAUAUGCUAAGCUAACAGAUGGGUCUUAUCCAUCAUAUCAUUCUUCUAAUGUUGUGAUCACGUUUAUCAAAUGACAACAUAUGUCUAUGGUUAGGAAACUUUAACCAUCUUUGAUUAACGAGCUAGUCUAGUAGAGGCUUACUAGGGACACAUAGUUUUGUCUAUGUAUCCACACAUGUAUCAAGUUUCCAGUUAAUAUAAUUCUAACAUGAAUAAUAAACAUUUAUCAUGAUAUAAGGAAAUAUAAAAUACCAACUUUAUUAUUGCCUCUAGGGCAUAUUUCCUUCAGUCUCCCACUUGUACUAGAGUCAAUAAUCUAGAUUACAUUGUAAUGAUUCUAACACCCAUGGAGUCUUGGUGUUGAUCAUGUUUUGCUCGUGGAAGAGGCUUAGUCAAUGGGUUUGCCCCAUUCAGAUCCGUAUGUAUUGUGCAAAUCUCUAUGUCUCCCUCCUUGACUUGAUCACGGAUGGAGUUGAAGCGUCUCUUGAUGUGUUUGGUUCUUUUGUGAAAUCAGGAUUCCUUCGCCAAGGCAAUUGCUCCAGUAUUGUCACAAAAGAUUUUUAUUGGACCCGAUGCACUAGUUAUUACAACUAGUGGGCCAGGGUGCCCACCACCCACCAGGGCGCGCCUAGAGGGGGUGACGCGCCCUGGUGUCUUGUGGCCACCUAGCAGCCCCCCUGUAACGCCCCGAGACCGUUGUGCCAGGUGUCUUCCAGUUAUUCGUUGUUGUUUCCUUGUCAUUUGUUUGCGUGUCAUGAAUUUCUUAUCAUGUCAUCAUGUGCAUCGCAUUUGCAUAUGUGUUCGUCUCAUGCAUCCGAGCUUUUUCCCUGUUGUCCAUUUUGCAAUCCGACACUCCUAUGUCCUCCGGCGCCCCCUUUUGCCUCUUUUCGUGUGCGGGUGUUGAACGUUCUCGGAUUGGACCGAGAUUUGCCAAGCGGCCUUGGUACAAUCGGUAGACCGCCUGUCAAGUUUCGUGCCAUUUGGGGUCUGUUUGAUACUCCAACGGUUAACCGGGGAACCGUAAAGGCCUCGUGUGUGUUGCAGCCCAACACCCCUCCAAAGUGGCCCAAAACCCAUCUAAACCCCCUCCAUCCUCUCGGUCGUUCGAUCACGAUCGCGUGGCCGAAAACCACUCCUCAUUUGGACUCUCCUAGCUCCCUCUACCUAUAUAUAUGUGUGCCUCCCCGAAAAUUUGCACAGUCUAACCCUAGCAUUUUUCCCUCUCCGCCGCCGGACACAUCUCCCUCCUCCAUCGGACAUGUCCGCCGCCGCCUUCGUCCAAUCCGGAGCCGCCACGUGUCCACCCGCGCCCCACUUUGCUGCCGGGCCCGCGGAGCCCAUCUCCGGCCCGCUCUGGGCCGCGCCGGGCCCAAUCCGCCCGAGCCGCCAGGAUCCCACGCCGUCCUNNNNNNNNNNNNNNNNNNNNNNNNNNNNNNNNNNNNNNNNNNNNNNNNNNNNNNNNNNNNNNNNNNNNNNNNNNNNNNNNNNNNNNNNNNNNNNNNNNNNNNNNNNNNNNNNNNNNNNNNNNNNNNNNNNNNNNNNNNNNNNNNNNNNNNNNNNNNNNNNNNNNNNNNNNNNNNNNNNNNNNNNNNNNNNNNNNNNNNNNNNNNNNNNNNNNNNNNNNNNNNNNNNNNNNNNNNNNNNNNNNNNNNNNNNNNNNNNNNNNNNNNNNNNNNNNNNNNNNNNNNNNCGCCGCCGCCGCAUCGCCACGAGCCAUCGCCCGCGCUGUCGCCGCCAUGCGCCUCCUCGCCGCCGUCGAGCUUCGCCGGCCGCCGCCCUCCACCGCCCGGGCCGGAGCUUUCCUUGCCGGCCGUCGGCUCCCGGUCGCGCUCCGCCCAUGGAUCCGACCGAUAUCCCUCCUCCGGUGCCCCCCCUCCCCCCAUCCUCUCCGGCCGCCUCCUCGCGUCGUCCGGCCUCCUCCACGUCAACUCCGGCGAGUUUCUCCGGCGUGCCUCAAAAACCAUGCCGAGCAAACCCUAGAUCUGGAGGUUGAUAUUUUGCCCAAGUCUUUUUCUGCAUCAUUUUCAAGCCAUGUUCAACAUGUCAUAACUUCAUCAUCGUAGCUCUGUUUCAUGCGCAUGAUAUAUCAAAUUGUUCGUCUGGAUGUGCUCUACAUUUUGUUACAUUGUGCCAUGCGUGUUUGAGUCCAUCUUGAUGCCCAAAUGACUGUUGCAAGAGUGCUAUGAAAUGUUAGGUGUUGAUUCUUAUCAGUUUAUGAGCAUUUGUCAUUUUUGCCAUGAUUAUUGUGUGCUGCAUAUGAGCAUGAGCUCUACAUGUGUUUUGUUAUAUGCCAUGCCAUCUUUACAGGGGUGUAUGCCAUGUAUUUUUGUGAUCAAUGUGGUGACUAGCACAAGCAUGCAAAGUAGCUCUCGUGAUGUUGCUGAUUUCAGGGACUUGAAAUUUCACUAAGUCAUUUCCCUGCUGUUAUUUUUAUGACAUGUAUUCAUGUUUUUACAGAGUGAUCCAUGCCUCUUUUGAGCAUGUUCAGUAAGGAUGAUUUUGAGAUAUUGUUAUGCUCUAUCCAUCCAUGCCCUUGUUUGCUUUCAUGGAGUGCCCUAGCAUGACUCAAUCUUGCUCUACUUUUGCUAUAAAAUGUUCCUGGCAGAUUGUUUACUUGUUAAUCAAUUUUGCCAAGGUUGUUGUAGUUGAUCCAUGCAUGCUAUGAGAUUGUUCUUGCCAUGUUUAGCUUCUUGAACAUGUCUUCUUGCUUGUUGUAUGCUUAGUUUGCCAUGCAUGCCUUGUGUUCAGUGCAUCGAGCUCGCAAACAUGCCUUCGUAACUCUGUUCUUGCCAUGUCCAGUUUUCUGCUAAUUCUGAAUCUGUUAACGAAACUUGCUAUAUUUACAUGGGUGCCAUCAUAUCUUUUGAUCCUUUUUGGCUUAUGGUCAGUAAGGGACUUUUGUUAUAUGCUUUGAGUAGAUUCAUGCCAUGCCUUGUAUUGCUAUGAUCUGAUCAUGUAGCAUGUUGUUAUCUUGCUCUAAACAUUGCUUCCUGAUGUUAAUUCCUGACAUGUUAGUAUUUUUUACCAAGUCUGAGAUGCUGUUAUCUUUUGCUCUUUUGCCAUGCUUGUUUGAACCUGCUGUUGUGUGAUUUAGCUGUAGCUCAGUGUUCAUCUUUUGUCAAGCAUCUUGAGUAGAUCACUACCAUGUGCUUUGUUGUUAUGUUAGAGUGCAGUAGCUUAUUUUUUUGAUGCAUUUUAGUUGGCAUCGUGCUGUUAAUCGCAGAAUUGUGUCAUUAUUGUUUUGCUUGCCAUUUGCAAAUCGUGCAUCCGAUUCCGGUGAUCUUUAUAUCGAUUUCGACCGAAAUCAACUCAUCUUUCCAGUGGCGCACUUGGUUUGCCAAGUUGAGGCCUGGUUCAAUCUUUUCCUUCCGGAGCACGCAUAUGCAUUGCAUAUUACAUCCUGCAUAUCAUGUCAUGUUUUGCAUCAUGUUGCUUGCGCAUUGCACCGUGGUUGGUUGUGGUUUCUUUUGUUUGUGCUCUUGCUUUGGGUAGAGCCGGGAGACAAGUUCGUAUCGAGGAACCCAUUGAGUAUGCUUAUGAGGAUCAAGCUUUCGCCUACUCGGAGAACUUUGCAGGCAAGAUGACCAUACCAUCAAAAUCACUUCUAUCUUUGCUUGCUAGUUGCUCGCUCUUUUGCUAUGCCGCAAUACCUACCACUUGCUAUAUCAUGCCUCUCAUAUUGCCAUGUCAAGCCUCUAACCCACCUUUCCUAGCAAACCAUUGUUUGGCUAUGUUACCGCUUUGCUCAGCCCCUCUUAUAGCAUUGCUAGUUGCAGGUGAAGAUGAAGUUUGUUCCAUGUUGGAACAUGGAUUUGUUGGGAUAUCAUUAUUAUAUCUUGUUUACCUUAAUGCACCUAUAUACUUGGUAAAGGGUGGAAGGCUCGGCCUUAUGCCUGGUGUUUUGUUCCACUCUUGCCACCCUAGUUUCCGUCAUACCGGUGUUAUGUUCCUUGAUUUUGUGUUCCUUACGCGGUUGGCUUAUAAUGGGAACCCCUUGACAGUUCUCCUUGAAUAAAACUCCUCCAGCAAGGCCCAACCUUGGUUUUACCAUUUGCACUAACAACAUAUCACCUUCCCUUGGGUUCUGCAGACUCAAGGGUCAUCUUUAUUUACCCCCCGGGCCAGUGCUUGUCUAAGUGUUGGUCCGAACUAGAGCCCCUUGCAGCGCCACCUCGGGGAAACUUGAGGGCUGGUUUUAGUUGUACGAGUUGCUCAUCCGGUGUUGCCCUGAGAACGAGAUAUGUGCAGCUCCUAUCAGGAUGUCGACGCAUCGGGCGGCUUUGCUGGUCUUGUUUUACCAUUGUCGAGAUGUCUUGUAACCGGGAUUCCGAGUCUGAUCGGGUCUUCCUGGGAGAAGGAAUAUCCUUCGUUGACCGUGAGAGCUUGUGAUGGGCUAAGUUGGGACACCCCUGCAGGGUUUUGAACUUUUGAAAGCCGUGCCCGUGGUUAUGGGCAGAUGGGAAUUUGUUAAUGUCUGGUUGUAGAGAACUUGACACUUAACUUAAUUAAAAUGCAUCAACAGCGUGUGUAGCCGUGAUGGUCUCUUUUCGGCGGAGUCCGGGAAGUGAACACGGUCUCGUGUUAUGCUUGAAUGUAAGUAGUUUCAGGAUCACUUCUUGAUCAUGAUAGUUUAUCGAUCGUGCUUUGCUUCUCUUCUCGCUCUCAUUUGCGUAAGUUAGCCAACAUAUAUGCUAGUGCUUGUUGCAGCUCCACCUCACUGCCUUUUCCUACCCAUAAGCUUAAAUAGUCUUGAUCGCGAGGGUGUGAGAUUGCUGAGUCCCCGUGACUCAUAGAUUACUUCAAACAGUUGCAGGUGCCGAUGAUAACCGUGCAGGUGACGCAACCAAGCUCAAGGAGGAGCUCGAUGAAGAUCGUGUUUGUUGUGUUGUUUCGUUUCCAGUUGAUCAGUAGUGGAGCCCAGUCGGGGCGAUCGGGGUUCUAUUGCAUUAGGGGUUGUCUUUCUUUAUUUGGUUCCGUAGUCGGACCUUGAUUGUAUUCUGGAUGAUGUAAUGUUUUAUCCAUGUAUUGUGUGAAGUGGCGAUUGUAAGCCAACUCUUUAUCCCUUUCAUUUCAGUACAUGGGAUGUGUAAAGAUUACCCCUCUUGCGAUAUGCCUACAAUGCGGUUAUGCCUCUAAGUCGUGCUCCGACACGUGGGAGAUAUAGCCGCAUCGUGGGUGUUACACCCCCUCUGGUAGUUCUUUUCUCUGAUAUUUUUUCUUUAUUCUAAAAUAAUUCUCCGUAAAAUUUCAGCUUGUUUGGAGAUGUGCAGAAUAGGUAUCUCUGAUAUAGCUUUUUUAGGUCCAGAAUUCCAGUUGCCGGCAUUCUUCCUCUUUGUGUAAACCUUCCAUAUUAUGAGAGAAAAGGCAUUAGAAUUACUCCAUAAAGUGUUAUAAAGCAUAAAAACACUAUAAAUGUAUGAUUUUGUCAUGCAAAAUCAAAAUGAAUGUCACAGAAAUACCCUAAAACGUCAUAUAAGAUCACCAUUGACCAUCAAAAUAUAAGGCCACCUCAUUCAUUAUGAAGAAAUUCUUUGCCAUGAGAGUAAACCAGGCCAACACUAAAAUUCAUGAAGUAAAGUCAUCCAUAGUCUUAUGUUUCAUUACAUGAAAGAAAGUGAUGGUAUGACUCCAUCGUGUAUUAGAUGUGGCCUUUCCUACGACAAUGUGGUAUCAUCAUUUUUUCUAAUUUAGUAAAAGGUCUUACAUAUUGGUUUCACAAUCCAAAAAGACUCCUUCGCCCGCGCGUUGGGACGGGCGAAGCGCUCCAUAGAAGCAGUCAGGUUCCGACAUUGCGCUAUGUUCCUUUUCAAACUUUUGUGUGUUGUUUACCUGAGAAUGGUGGCCCCACAUAGUAUAGCAGCCCCACCUAUUACACGCAUUCCCUAACCCUUUGUGACAGCUAGUCGGAAAUUGAUCGCGUGGGCGUGUGCGCGUGAAUUAGCCUCCCCCUCACAGCCAUCCACCCCAAAAAAUAAUACAAAUUAAUAUAAUUUUAGCCAUGUUAGAGACAUGUGUGUACCUCCACAAUGUAAUGGGCUAUUGUUGUUUACAACUAAUUGGUUCCUAAUUUUAUGACUGGAUAUGGAUUUUGUCAUGAAACAUACAGGGUUUGUGCCUCCUAGGUAGGUUUAUGACAAAAUGAUAGUUUUGUCAUGGAAGGACCGAUGUUUAUGACACAAACACAAAACAUCACAGAUAAUUCAUCGUAGAAGGCCAAAAUUUAGUAGUACAAGAUAUCUUGGGACUCGUCAACUGGAUAUGUAAUUUGCACAUAUUUGUGUCCUCUACACAUUCUAUGGUUUACUGGAAUUUAUGCAAUAAUGCAAAAAAAUAGUAUCUAAUUGCGGUGCAAAAUGGUUAGAAAAAGUGCCAUGUCUUUGAUGAAUCGAUGUUGGAAUAUGGCUCACAAGACAAGUGCACUAUGGUAGGUUUGUCCUUGUCUUGUUUUGACACAUUUUUUCUCCUUUUUUCUAGUUUUUAAUUUGGAUUUUGGCUUUUUAUCAUCUGGUUCUCAUCAAUUUCCAACUGUUGCCACAAGUUUUCAAGGGGUUCUUAGCCAUCUUUUUAUGUGUUUCUCCACAAUAUUUUUUGAAGUACUUUGGUAUUCCAUAACAAUUUUCACACUAGAUAAUACACAACAUAUAACUGAGGAAAAAUGCAUGAGAAGAAAACAAUGCAAGACAUAGGCAUCUCCAGCUGCAAACAAAGUAACAUUUCCAUCAAUUGAUGGCAAGACAACAAUCCGCGGAUUGCAUAUAAUAUAUGUGUGUAUGUAUAGCCGGUGCUAUAAUUCUCAUAUGCAUCCUCCUCGACCUACGUUGGUAGGUGCUUACAUAAUAUACUCAUAUAUUCACAUAUGAGUAGUACGAGAAGUAAAACCGAGAAAGCAGCGCUGCCGACAAAUGUGAACUAACAUGGCAUGUAUAUGCGUUACUUCAACUUGCACUUUAGGCCUUGCCAGAUUCCUCGCAGCCUGGUGGCCUGAAGGCAAUGAAGCUGACGCACUGCACCUGGCGCAUGUUGUCGAAGCCGAUGACACGGACAUAGGCGUCAGGGUACUCCUUCUUGACCUCCUCCACCUCGUUGAGCACCUGCGUUGCGUCGGUGCACCCGAACAUAGGCAGCUUCCACAUUGUCCAGUAUCGACCGUCGUAGUAGCCGGGGGAGCUGUUGUGCUCACGGAAGACGAAGCCAACCUUGCUGAACUCGAGGCAGGGCACCCACUUGGAGCGGAUCAGGUAGUCGACCUGCUUUAGGAGGGCCUCAGUGGAGAGGGGUGGCAAGUAAGACAGGGUCUCGAACUUCUUGAUGCCCUCAAUCGGCCACACCUGAAUAGAUGGAGUCGACACAAUUGAUCAACACUUGGUGCUUAAAGAAAGACCUGGCUAUAAGGCAAAAAUCACUCCUUAUGGUCUGCCCAUACAUUGUGGGGGGCUCCACAAGCAAGAAGGUCAAGGGCAGCAGCUCUUGCUUAUGGGUAGUGUACGGGCAUUAAAAUGAUAUUAUCUAAUACACGUUGUGAUAAAAUCGAUUUCCGUUCACAAAGUUUAUGAGUUAAAUAUUCCUACACAUGUGAACCUGCUUACGGACUACAUACAUUGUGAUGCACUAUCUUAGUUUACUUUGGCCUGGUAUGUGGGUUACACAUCCUAAUUAAGGAUAGCUUUGGAAAAUACCUGAUGAAUUAAUCAACUGUGCCGACAAAAAUAUUCAUAUGACCUUAGUGUUGGUCCUACCUCGCAAAGAUAAUACUCUGUCCGAUACAAAAUAAGUGUUGCAGUUUUGAACUAAGAUUAACGAGGAAGUAAUUAGUUUCCAUACCUGCAUGCAUCUGAUCCUUCCGCCGUUGCUGACGCUGCUGAGGCCGGCGCUGCCGGAGCGGCGGCUGACGGGGAGGCCGGCGGUCGACUUGAGCCCCUGGAAGGGCGCGACGGUGGUGGCGGAGGAAGCCAUCACGGCUGGGGCCAUGGCGGAGUACGUGAAUUGCUAGGUGGGGAGGCGAUAGCAAGCUUGGCUACACCCCUCAUACCGCUCCAGUAUAUAUAUCAGCGUAUGCGCAGCGCCGCUCCUUUCCAACAAGAUUUCCAAGGGGCGGUCGUCCUUUGCCUGUUGCAAGGCGCCUUAUCCCUCUGGAUAAGCGGAGGAGGGGUGGCCCUCCGAUGCAUUGCGUGUGACUGCUGCAUGGGCAAACGAAAUCUACAUCACUCCGAUUGCUACUAAUAAGCAAUACAAUAAUUGUUCGAUCGUUAGAUUAGCGCCUGCGCCCCUCUCUCCUCAUCUACCGUAGCUUUCAUCUAAGGCUCCCACUAAUUUUGAUUUAUUUUGUUUCCAAAAAGUCACUGCUCCCAGAAAUUACUCCUCGAAGAUUUGUGUCUGAGGUAAUUGUACCGGUGGCGCUUGAACUUGCCAUCGAUGUUCACUUUAAUGCUCGAAUUUGAAAAAUACGCUGAACUGGUUAUAUAGACAUGGCACUCUUGUUCAAAUAUGGUUCAAACCAUGUUUGGAUAUGUAUGUGUUGCUGACUAGGCAUGCCAGCAUGGCGCGGCGCCCACUUGCAGUGUCGGGACAGUCUCACUUGCAAAGUAUGCACUCCAUGGCAAUCGGGUCCCACAUGUCAAGGCACAAUAGCAAAAAAAACUAGCCGUGGUUGUCAAGGCUCCCGCUAAUUUUGAUUUAUUUUGUUUCUAAAAGGUUACUGCUCCUGAAAAUUACUUCUCGAAGAUUUGUGUUUGUGUCUCUCUCCAUGUGGUGGGGGCGGUGGGGAGGAUAACGUUGUGCCCGUCCGUGUUAGAAACGGUGGCAACUAGCAAGGGGGAAGGGAUGCGGAGCGGAGCGACAAAUGAAUGAUGGAGAUGCACCCCGGGCCAGUAUAAGUAGAAGGUUGGUUGCACGGAUCACCGCACACUAUCUGAUGAGGUCUACCCAUCCACCUGGUGCCUAAUACAUGGAUACACGGGUGGCAAAACAUCGACCAACACAUAAUGGCCGCGCUCUGAUAGUAUAGGGGAUCAUAACAGUCCUCUGUCUGAUGAGGUCACCUACUAAGGGGUAGGCUCAUCAACACCGAACAAGCUACAAUCCAUGGGAAUCCUAAUGCAAGAUGCUCACCUGCCAAACACAACCGACAUGACAAACCACUCGGACGAUACCAAGUCACUCGAACUUGUCAAGUACACCAUGUCAUUCGGAUGGAGUACAGCAUUGUUCGAAUACAUGAAACACUCAGAGGCACGAAGUAGAACAUGCGGAGAAGGCACCUGGGGCAUCGUGGACUUUAAUAGAACUAGUGUUACUAAUUUUAUUGCAUCAAUUACCUCUUGUACCGGAUCUAAUAAUUAGACACUUUAAACCAUUGUAAUGGCAAAGGUCAGGGGCAAGGGACAUGGCACACUCUAUAUAAGCCCUACCUCUGUAACAGAGGAUCCGCAUCCUUUGUAAUCAUCAUCAGACAUAGAGAAAGCAAAGCUCCUAGCGCUCGAGGCGUGUGGCCAUUACCUCUUACGAGAGGGGCCUAAACUCAUAAAACCUCCUGUGUCACACUUGCUCCUAGUUAGAUUAAGCUUUAUCCCUACCCCUCUCUCUUAUUUUCAAAAUCAUCCCCACGACACCAUCCUCAUUGGGAAGUAUUGUACCCUAAUUUGUAUUUGACACGAUGGGAGUGAGAGAAUUUUUAUAAAGCAGUUGAGCCAUCACUCCCAACCACACAUGUAAAAUUUGAUAGGUAAAACUCAUUAGUGGCGAUGACAAUUGAGUAGUUUGAGUUUUGUAGGUUGCAAGAAUCAUAAAUGAGAGCAUCAAUUACCUGGUAGUUUCCAAGUAACGAGCAGUAAAAGGGAACUAAAAUUGUAGGCCUGCAAAUGGAUAUUAGAACGUUGCAUGUAUGAUAUCAUUCAUAACACGGUGCAUCUAAAUGAGCAUACAAUCCCAAGUUCAUGUUCUCUUACUAUGCACGUUUCAUAUAGAGCUGAAUGCUCUUAUUCUUAAGAAGUUAUUCAACAUAUAUUGUCCUACCCCCGCCCCCCAAGUCAUCGGGGUCCACUGGAAAAUAAUGACAAUUAAAAUGUCCUUUUUUAGGCAAUUAGAAUGAUGCAUUUAGGACAGAAAAUUGCACCUAAUCCCUAUCUCUCGCGCGUUUAACGUUUCUAGCCAUUCAUUUUGUUGAUCUGGGUGUUUCUGGUCGUCGGAUCUGCGUGUCUCGUUGUUCAAACUAUUUAGUCGUUCACAACUUCUUGGUGUAGAUGCACUCCACGAGCAGAUGGUUGGUCGUCUCCAGCGCGGUGAAGCAGAGUGGAUAGGUCGGGUUGUGCGAUAUGCCUCGGAUAGCCAGGUUGUCUGCCAUGAGACAUCGUCCACAAACAGCCAGCCAGAGGAACGCCUUGGCUUGCAACGCCGCACCGGCAGACCAGAUGGGUGCCUUGUCAUCCGAAUGCAACACCCCUUCGAAUUGGCAUGUGUAUUCCUGUUUGGUGGUGUAACUGCCAUCCGCCGUCCAACACAAAGUCACCGAGUCCAUCGCCUCGUCGUUGAAGUUUAUGCCUGCGGCCAUCUCUGACAAGCAACAUAACUGCCUUAGCACCAGAGUUGAUGGAUUGGGUUUCAGAAGGUGCAUCCAUCAAUCCCUUGUGAUGGCCUCCUGUAGAGAGAGGCGGCGGCACGGCGCGGCGCGACGCUUGGUGCAAUGGCGUAGGAGCUUCGGCCAUGGGGCCCUCCACCCAUUGUGAGUCCCAGAAGGAUACGGUGACAUAUUUUGACAUCCAAAUACAACUUACUGCAAGUCCGAGCAUGGCUGUUACGAUAUGGUACUGCUAAUAUAAUAUAAUCCCUUUUUAGCCGGAUUUCCUUAUCUUUCAAAUGGGGCUAUCCAAUCUAUUUCAAACGUGUGGAUGCUCAACUUGCAAUAGGAGGAUGCUAUCUUUGUCUACGAGAGUUACCUUACCAAGAUACCUGUUGCUAUUUCAUUUACCUUGUUUUACUACGACUCUAGUGUCUCGUGCGUGUUGGAAGUGUAUAAACAUUGAUACUUGAUCAGUGCGUGUAUAACGCAUCAUUACGUCAGAACAUGUUUAUGUACACAUCGUGUUUCGCGUUUUGCAUAGACCAGCAUUUUUUUUGUUGAGCACAUAUUUCUCUAUGCAUACAUAUAUUGUAAGAUGUAAUUAUAACGUCGGGCGGGUUAGCGUCGUGUACCAUUCGGGGCUUUAAUCACGUGGUUCUUACAUCGGUACUACAUUCCUCUCAAAUGCAGCUUGACGUGCGCCGUUUGUGACGCCACGCCCACAUCCCCACAUAAUCCGACAAAAAAGGCGACGACCAUCAAAUACUGCCCGUUUCGCUUUUCCGAACCCAGAGAAAUGUAAACAGAACACGACACCGAAACUCCGUCGAACCGAAUCCGCGCCCCUAACCCCUGAACCAUGAGCAGCCAAACUUGUGUGGUUUGAAGCAAGUGUUUGAACCAGUCUUGGCACGAUGCGGUAUCCUGGAUAUGUGUAUGUGACGAGUACACCAUGACGAUGGACCCUGCACUUUAAUUCGACCGUUGGCAGCCCGCUCCCGAUUUAAACCGGUUUUCCCCCCUCCCACUCUCACCCACCGCGAAGCAGAGCAGAGCAAAACUAGCCGUUGCCCGACCAACAAACACUCUGCCUCCUUCCUUCUGCUUCUCCCCCGCCCGUCCUCUGAUCCCGCCUCCGAUGGACUCCGCCGCGGCGUCGUCCCUCGUCGUCAGCCCCGCCUCCGACGACCGCUUCUGGGACGGCCUGCGCACCCGCGUCGACACCAUCAUCGAGGACCGCCGCCUCGUCGCCUCCGCCGCGUCCACGGUGCGUGCUCUCGGUCGAUAGAUCCUGGUUGAAAUCCCUCUUUUUCUUUGUCCGGAGCUGGAUGGAUCCUGACGCGCGCUUGCUCUGAUCUGAUUCUGAUCUGUUGGGCGCAGUGCGCGGCGGCGUCCGGGCGGCCCAAGCGGCUCCGGGAGGACUCGCUGAUGCUGGUCCGUGGCCUCGACUCCGUCGCCGCGUCCCUCGCGCAGCUCUCCGACACCCUCACCGCCGCCCAGAAGGUAACCACGGAUUCCACCGGCGUUCCCUUCCCUCCCCGUUCCUGUUCGACGAUCUGACACCGGACGUGUGCUCCGGUUUUUUCAGGGCGUGAACGCUCUGGCCAUGUGCUCGUCCCAGGCGAGGGAACGCGAGAGCGGGGAGGAGGAGCCCGAUGCGAAGCGCCGCUGCACCGCCUCGACGGAGUUCGCGAGCCUCGAAGCCCAGAUAGUCGUCAAUGAAAGUUCAGACAACGGCGCGGCGGACGCGAAACCGCGCGCGAUGCCCAACGGCGACGUCGUCGUGGCCUCCGCCGAGGUCGCGCAGAGCACCAACCUGAAGCGGGCGCGCAGUGUGAGUAGCCGGCCGCGAACAGGCAGAAUCUCGUUUUGUUCCACGCCGCGAUCUUAUUCGUGGAUGAUUCUGCUGAAUUUGAGGUGGCUGAUUCGAAUGAUCCAAUGGUUGUGUGGUGCAGCUGGCGGUGUCGAUGGCGGGCAGGGCGGCGAACCUGGCCCGGGAGCUGACGACCAUCAAGUCGGAGCUGCGGUUCAUGCAGGAGCGGUGCGGCCUGCUGGAGGAGGAGAACAAGCGGCUCCGGGACGGCUACGACAGCGGCGGCGGCGCCGCCCCCGAGGAAGACGACCUGGUAAAUCACGAACCACCGCCCACAUUUCUUCAGAACCAAGAUCGAGGCCAGCAUGUUCCUUAGUUUGUGUUCUUGGUUGGCUGAUCAUCUUGAGCUCCUCUGAUGGUGUGGCAGGUUCGGCUGCAGCUGGAGGCGCUGCUGGCGGAGAAGUCGCGGCUGGCGCAGGAGAACGCGAACCUGGCGCGGGAGAACCAGAGCCUGGUGCAGCUGGUGGAGUACCACCAGCUCACCGCCCAGGAGGAAGAAGAAGAGGAGGACCACCUCCUCACCGCCUCCUACGAGGAAGCCAUCAUGCAGGGGAUGCGGCUCGACUUCUCGUCGCCGCUCGGCAAGUUCGACGGCGAGGGCGAGCUCGACGGGGUUCCGGCCACCCCCGGCAGCAAGCUCGGCGCGCUGGUGUCACCUGAUGAGUGAAAAAUGUUGAAGACUCCAGCGCUGAAAUCGCUGCAGCACUGGAGUGGUUUCCGCUGUUGUUUUGUGUUGCGUGCUUCAGUUUGAGCACUACUCUCUCCGGUGGCCGGAUUUGGUGCUUCUUGACGACGAUGGCGGCUUGUUAUCUCAGUUGAAUGUUAACCAUGUUCCUUGUUUAUUCAGACAGCGCCUCAGAUAAUAGAAACUGUGUCGUAACUGCACAGAUUAUUAGCAUGUUCCAUGUUCUCCAUAAGCUCUGAAUCUUUUAAAUCACACUGCAAUCCUGGGAUACUUCUGACGAAAUCAUCUCCGGGAGUUAAUUCUGCUUGUUAUCUAGAUGUAAAACCAUGUCCUUGUUUAUUCCACUCUGAAGUCAGAACCUGGGACGAUUCUGACGAAAAGGCAAAAAGAAAAUGAACGCAGACAGGGAAGCUACUGCACUGUGCCAUGAAAAAUCGGCAUCACGGUUAUUUUCUUGAUGAUCUAGACAGAAUAGACGAUUUGUACAUGUAAGUGGUGCUCGUUGUCUAUGCUAACCUAGUCAGUCUCUAGUGUAUCUAUAUAUACUAAUUUACAAUCAUGUCACUCCAAUGCCAAUUAGAAGAUUGGGCAAUGGAGGAACACAAACAUAAACAAAAGUAGGCUAUUAUUGUGCCACCACACCACAGGAGGGGAGCUGCUGACGUGCCUCAACUGGGAAGCACCGGCUGGGUUCUUCGUCUCCUGGGGAGAGUAGUUCUCGGGCGUCGAGCGCGACGAGUUCCGUGAGUUGAUGGAGAGAGGGUUUGAGCUAUCGGUGUCAUAACCUGCAUGUUCACAGAACAAACAUAGCAUGAGCAUAAUAAGCAAAUGACUUUCUAUGAAGAAACAAAGCAUUCGUAACGGUUUGCUUACAGUUGAAUUUCUUCCAGCCAAGUAUCUUCCUUUCUCGGUCGAAUACAACGCGGACACCGGUCAUGAAGUUUUCUGCACCAUUUCUUGACUGUUAACAACUAUUGAAUGUGCUUCCCACAAUUAGGAAUAUACUAUGUAGUAUAUAAUAUAAUUCAGAUAGGCUAUAUCCCAAGCCCAUACAUGAUGUUAUCACAGUUUAGAACAUUGUUUCACAGCACAUGAUAUAUUGAGAUGAUUUAAGACAAGUAACUGUAUGCCCACUACAAAGAUUUGCAAUUGUUCAUACUGGCAAUCACGGCAAAAGAAAAGAAUGUGAAAUGCCUAACUGAAUUGCUUGUUCUGUUACCGUCAUAAGUGAAAAGAAUUCGCUAGUGCUGAAAAACCAAGAUGACUUUGGUUUUGAACAAGGCGGAGGUUGGUUAGUUCUGGGGACGAAAUUACAACAGAUACUCUGUUCUUGUCAAUGAUCUCAGGAUACAAAAAAAAAAGUGCAAAAAUGACACUGUAAAAAUGCUUAGAAGCGUCAAUGGUAAUGCAACAGAAGAGUCCCAAAGUAAUGGUUCUGCAGUAAACUUACGUCCAAUUAUGUUUAGCUUCGUGCUCUUGACAAUCGCCAAGCAAUAAACAUACUCAUGUUGCUGCAAAUAUCAAAGCCAGCGGGAUCGUUACAUAAUCUGAGCCUGUUCCUAUUGUUAAGAGAAUUGCACAAUCUGAGGCUCGCAAUACCUGAAUGGAGAUAACCUGCCCUGGAUCAAUAGCAGGGAACAGGCUCCCACCUGCUGUUCUAAGACUUAUACUAGGAGUUUGAAUCCUUGCCUCACUAGAGCUGCACAAGUUAACCUUGGUCAUUUUAGUCAUGGAUUGACAAAACAUACGACUAAUGGUUCUUAUAAAAUUUAUAUGCGACAUAAAUUAACCUCAGAUCGUAGCAAUAUUCGAAGGGGAUUCUUGAGUCAGCGGCAUGGCGAUUGGCUUGAACUUGAUUAUGGAACUGAAAACGAGAAAUUACAGCAUGAAUAUUCCCCUAUUGAAGCAAGACCAAACCAAGACAGAAAAUUUACUUACACCAUCUGUUAUAUAUGUAUAUGCUGGGUCUGCCAAGUAUGUGAAGGAUGUCCCUGUGUCGAAAAUAGUACUAACUUCCAAAUCCAUUAUGUUAUUUCCAACAACAAUGCCAGUGAUGGUGAUAGCGUAUGUGGGGCUGGAAAACAAGAAAUUAUCCCAGAUGGGCCAAAUUAACAAGAGGCCGACAGCAAUGGACUUGGCAAAAAACACAAUACCUAAUUGUAAGCCAGGUAAAUGGAUAAAUUUUGCUCACUGUUUCUGAUUGAUGUCAAGUGGUGUUUCCUCUUGGUCUGUGCUGCCUUGGUCUCCAAAACUGAUCCUCCCAAUACCGUCACGGCCAAAACACAUUGAGAAGGAAUUUGAUGUCAGACCUUUCUGAGCUAGAAUGCUAGGAACUGAUAUCAUGUCCACCCCAAGUCCAAAAAGACCGUUUGGAGCAGCAGCAUCCAGAAAUGAGCCAGUCUGAACCUCUCCGCAACUGAUAAAAAUGAAACAGAUCAAAGUUUAUCAAAAAAGUUGAAAAUAAUGUUUUUCAUCUCACCACAUAAAGAAUAAAUAUUACCCAAACAUUAUUUGUGCCUUGAGAAAUUGAGGGCGAGUAUCCUCUGUUGAUAGGUAAAGCACAUCCUCAACAAGAAAUCCAGAAGAUGAUGUGUCUGCAGAGACAUACACCAUCUUGUAUGGACAACUUGAUGUUGUAGAGCAUUCUUUUCUAAGACCGCAAAAGUCACUAUUGCAAGGAACUGACUGGCUUGUUGAUGACAGAGAAGGGAUGUAAAACGAAGCCUGAAAUCUCAGAAAAUUAAUAACUAUAAGUAGAAAAAUGAAAGUCUAAAAACAGAAAAAUGCAGGCAUACAGCAAGGUGACAACAAAAGGUUAAAUAAUAAGUGUGUUCCCAUAUCACAAAUGACACUACUGAGAGGGGGGGAGGAAAGAAAAACGUUUUUACAAUGAACAGAGGUCAAGGUAUGAAGAUUAAUUUUGGGCAUAACUGUGCUGUGACUGCUGUCCCUAAUGACCCCUACACCAUAUGUUUGUAGUGCUAAGGACUGCAACCACCGUAAAACAGACUACCACUAGACCUGAAUAUUAACUGUCGAACAGAGGCUCUGCAAACAAGAGGAGAAAACCCAGAAGGGUGUUACUUAUGUAUGCAAAAUAAUUUGGUCAGGUAAUUCUUUCAACAAUCCGGUAAAACAAGAACAUGAGUCGAUAGAAUUUAUGUAGAAAAGACUCCAGAAUUUUCUUUCAGUACAGUUCAGAUCUAUGCGGUUUGAACCAGUCCAUGAUCAACGGAACAUAAAACAAGUUGCAAACGAAAAUGGAAAGUUCAUAGAACUGUAGAUCUACACUUCAGACCUUUCUUAUUCUCCAUGGUUAACUGCACCUAGAAUAAUGACACAGUAGAAAAGAACCGGCAUGUGAUUAACUACGAACAGGAGGCCGGGGAUGUCCCCUUUUAUAAAAAAAAAUUUAACUACGAACAGUCAAAGAACACUGAAAAUUCACCCCGUAACUCAUCACCACCGAUCAGUGUUACAUGAGAAAUGAUCAUGUAAGCAAUUUUAUCACUAUUCAAGAGUUCAGAUAAACAGUGCUGAUAUACACAUUAACGAUACACAUCUAACCAUUUUCUUUCGCACGCAUAGACUGUGACAACCAUAAUUGUCCACAAUGGCAGCACAGCAGAUAGGAGAGGCUGAAAUUUGAGAUAUUAAUUAUACUUGGGGUAAACAACAUUGCAGUGAAAUUCAUGCCACUUGACAGUAACUGCUGAGCUGCCAGAUCAGACGGUGUUGUAUGCAAAAUAUUGCCUCAUAGUCACGCAUAUGGAGUGUGAGAUGAUGAUACCACAGGCAGGCCCCUGACUACAUUGAGCUUCUGAAUUUACACUUUGCAUCAGUUUCGCCACCUUAUUAGGACACACGGCGGAGCAAAUUUUAAUGGGAACAGAAUGCGAUAUAAACAUGCCGCGUGUGAAUUCAGACUCGGCGUUAUGAUAUGCGGCGACGCCCAUCUGCAUCCAGGGAGCGAAACUGUGAGGAGGAGAGAGGUGUUACCGGUGCGGAGGCGGCCGAAGAGGGCGGCGGCGUGCAGCCGUCGCACUGGCAGGGGAGCCAGAAGAGGUCGCUGCCGGUGUCGAGCGCCACCAUGAACGUGUGCCCCGGCGUGCCCACCGUCACCAGCGCAUAGUGCAGGCUACAGCCAGAAAACCGCAGACAGUAGUCAGCAUCUGAAUUCUGAAGAACCAAAAGCACACAGAAUCGCGAGAGGGGGUAGGUAGCAACAGCUGGGGGCGCUUACAAUCCGAGGUUGCUGACCUUCAGCGUGGCGUUGCCCUCGGAGAAGGUGAGCGGCGGGCGGCCCCCUCCUCCGGCGGCCGACAGCGCCCGGUGGCGGUCGUGGCCGGCGAGCGCGGCGACGUACGCGGCGCCGCCGGGCGCCGGCCAGCCUCCGGGCAGCUCGUGCCCGCGGGCGUCCGCCCAGCGCCGCACGCGCGCGGAGAACCGGUGGUGGAACUCCAGCGACGGCGCCCCGCCCGCGACGCCGGCGACGAGGAGCGCCGGGAGCAGGAGCAGGGCGCCGCGGAGGGGCUGGGUGGCGGUCAUCAUCGGGGAUGCGGCCGCCGCAUGUGCCUCCGCUCCGGCAAGGGUCCGGUCCAGCAGCCGCGGUCGAACCGACGGUCGGCCGUGGGGCGGCGGCCGGCGGCGGGAUUUCGGCGGGCGUGCUGUGCUGCCUGUGUGUCGGAGUGUGAGUGGGUGCGGCGUCGAGUCGCUUUGCUUUGCGCUGGGAUUAUUAUUUUUAGCGGUUUCCAGAGUACGGAAGGCAAUAAUUGUGCUCGCUUUGGUUUCUUUUCUUACUCGUCGUGGGCUGGGCUGUAAAAUGGAAAGUGAGCGCUUCGGCCUAAGGGAUGGCAUCCCCCUUUUCCACCUUUCCUCCUCACCCCCUCCUCCCCUCUCACCGUCCAUCUUCGUCGCGAAAUGCCGGUAAUCUAGGAGUAGUUACAAGUGUUUUAUCGUUCCAAAGCGUUAAACAAGAGGUUUGAUCCCUGAUGAGAUGGGGGCAACGCCACCCUACUAACCAUCCAACCACUGGUUGGGUCUGAAGGAGUAAAGAACCGCGCAUAUGGAUCGAUUGAUGAACACAGCCGCAGCCGCCCUUAGCCUCCUUUGAUUCAAAAGGAAUUUUUACAGAAUUAUUGGAGGAUUUGAAUCCGUAUGAAUUUGUCAUACACAGCCAUUUGAUUCGUAGGCUUGAAAUCGUUACGAGUUAGGAAAACUUCUAAAGAAUUGCUUUGCCCUAUAUUUUGGUGAAAAAGUUCCAUCCACUCAAAGCUCUUUCUACAAUUCUUUUAUCUUUUUCAUGCAAAUUUCUGUGAUUUGCUAAUGUUACAUGGUUCAAAUAGGCCUGCCACACCAUUUCUGUAUUUUAAUCGUCCACGUGUUUUGUCUGUUACCUAAGUCAAAAUUGUGUGUUAUCUAGAGUCAUCGAUAAAAUCAUUAUUUGGAUGCGUUUUAAAUGGAUUUUGCAUAAAUAGUUUAUGUUAAAUGACAUUGCAUAUAAAAGAAAUAGGCCGACUUAGUUCGACUAACUAAGAGUGCAUGUGUAUGUUUUUUAGGGAAUGCAUGUGUAUGUUGUUGGUGUGAGGUAUGGCAACAAAAGAGACACCACGCCUAGUGUGAUGGGAAUUAGAUUAAUGCUGCGAAGGUAAUAUAUGUGUAAUGAAUCAAUCUUUGAGUAACCAAUAUGAUAUAUUGGUUCCGAUGUGAAUGAUCUUUUAGUUUGCAAAAAACAUCUUCGGCAACAUUUGUAUCAAAAGUUGCAUUACUUCAUGAACGAGCCUAUGAUAUAUCAACUGUGAGUUGNNNNNNNNNNNNNNNNNNNNNNNNNNNNNNNNNNNNNNNNNNNNNNNNNNNNNNNNNNNNNNNNNNNNNNNNNNNNNNNNNNNNNNNNNNNNNNNNNNNNNNNNNNNNNNNNNNNNNNNNNNNNNNNNNNNNNNNNNNNNNNNNNNNNNNNNNNNNNNNNNNNNNNNNNNNNNNNNNNNNNNNNNNNNNNNNNNNNNNNNNNNNNNNNNNNNNNNNNNNNNNNNNNNNNNNNNNNNNNNNNNNNNNNNNNNNNNNNNNNNNNNNNNNNCGAGAGAACUACAGGCCUGACUUACAAACAUUAUUGUGAUAAUCAACACAUACUUCCAUAUACAUCAUGGAAAAAAUCAACAUAUUUAUGUCCUCCACUUGUUUGGCUAACACUGUUUACAAUUUGCAGCGUGAAAGCUCCCUACAUCUUGCCAACCAAUGGAUCAAGUGUGGAUACCCACUUGUCAUAGUCCAGAGGAAAAUCAAGGUCACCAAGUGGUAUGCCAUUAACAAAGUAGUAAGGUGUCCCCGUGACACCUCGUGCACAACCAAACUACAAAAUAGAGAAAACAUAAGAUGAAUAUUGUGUCUAGAACAAUACAAAUUAUAAAAUACGACAUAUAACGUGAGACGAGUUGAACAAACCUUGAAGGAAAUCCUUGCGGCCUGAUCCGACCGUGAGUCGUUGAAGCCUGCUCUAUAUGCAGCCAAAUUGGCUUCGCCAAUGACGGGGGUGACCAGGUUGUUCGCUAUUUUGGCGACCACCGCCGCUCUUGUUUUGGUGUAUGUCGGCGUGUUGUAAUAACCCUUCUGAAAUGUUACCAUCCGUUAAUUCCUUGUGAUCUUAUUGUGUGCGUUAUAUGCUGUGACCAAUCUCGGAUGUAUUUCCCCCUCAGGAAAAAAAACAAAGUGUCAUGUCAUGCUUAUGCAUGCUUGAUGUAUGCACCGGCUAAUCCAUACUGAUAAAGCUAGCUUUGGAUAUGAACUUUUGCUUGUAUAUGACUUGGCAUGGACAAAAUUAAGUGCAUGGUGGUUUCAUCCAAUGGAAUGUGAGCAGGGUGCUUCUCGGUUCCCUCUCUUUGCCUCAAAAAGCUGCAUUGCACUGCACCUAUUAGUGCUUCCAAAGCAAUGCCUAGUCAUCUCCAUCUAAAGAAAAAGCAACAACGCCUUUGUGCUUAUAUUAGUUGUGAUGUUCACACAAGAGGCAGCACAAAACAUCUCAAAAUAUGCCUGAUUUUUUCUCUCCUUUUCUUAUACACCUUUUGCUUCUUCUCCUUUAGUAAAUUAUAUAAAGAAGCGGGCAGGCAAGAGAUAAUCGCAUCAUGAAAUCAGUAAAAGAUUUAUCGAGUCAUUACGCUUGCUGCUGCUUUAUGAUUUUUGUAAGCCAAAAGCAGUCAGUGUACCAAAUGAACAAUUGAUGGUAAUAAAACCAGGAUGGAGGUAGUAAUAACUACCGUACCUAAGGCAUAUCCAACUAAAAAAACUACCUAAAGCAUAUUGUGCAAAAUAAUACCGUUAACAAAUUUAGUUUUUUUUUUGGCUGAGUGGAAGAAGCUUAGUUUAUUGGUUGCAAAUUGUGCAAUACGAAUUUCAGAGAAUGUAUUCCAUGAUCCCUCUUCUCACGCUAUUUUAAUGCUAUGUAUCUACCUAUGCACGGAAACCACAACCAAAAUUUCAAGAAAGUCCUCCCAAAAUAGUUGAAAACAUUGGUACAGGUCGGUGCAUCGGCCAUGCCAUCAAGUUUCAUGUCCAAAUUAGAUUGCAUAGGAAAUAUAAAAAUAUAAGAAGACAAAAUCAGUUAUGACUUGAAUUUGAAUUUGAAUUUAAAGUUGGUGCCAUUUAAUGCUCCUUUUGUCCCUCAAGACGAGUAUCAAAUUUCAAGUGCGAAAAUUAUGGCAUCGUAGAAUCGUAUACAUGGAUCUAAUAUUAAUUAGGUUUGUGAAUGAUAUUGUUCAUGACUUGCACCGGCUUCAUAUGUAUUAUCAUUGUGUUUGCCUAAUAAUGGGGGCAUCUCUUGUUUUUCCUUUUUCCUUUUCUUUUUUGAGUGGAGGCUGAUUGAACUGACAUGAGCCAAAAGGAGCUCUUAUUUUCUUCCAGGAAUACGCAAAAGAUAUGCACACUCAGCAUGGAAGAAAAAUAAAUAGUACAGUAUGUGGCAGCUAUUAUAGUGGUGCUUUUGUUUUCUCUAGCUAUAAAGCUCGACCACGCUCUAAUUGGAAAGUAGAUGAGAGUGAGAUGCAACAGAUUUAAUACCAGGAUAAUCUUGCCUUUAAUUACCAUAGAAAAAAAUAAUCAUGGUGUGCCCUGUCCAUAGAAAAAAAAAUUGCCUUUAAUUACGUGGACAAAAGAAUAAUGUUGCCUUGAAUUACCAGGACAAAAAUCUCUCACUAUAAUAUCAGUUUGGUGCGCCCUGACUAUAGAAAAGAACAAUCUUGCGGUAAUUGCCUUUGGCUCCUAGGUGCAUAUGCACCCAUUGUCGAAAUCCAAAUUUCGAGAAGUUAAAAAAUUCGAAACAAAAAUCUCGCGUGUAUAUCCGGACAUUUUAUGUGCGUUCACAAGGUUUCAGUGAAAAACGACGUUUUUUGUGGCUUGUGUAAAAAAGAUAAAGAAAUGCCUCGUGAAUAGUUAGAAUGAAGCAUCAGAAAUUGUCUUUUUUACACAAGCCACAAAAAACGUCGUUUUUCACCGAAACCUUGUGAACGCACAUAAAAUAUCCGGAUAUACACGCGGGAUUUUUGUUUCGAAUUUUUCAACUUCUAGGAAUUUGGAUUUCGACAAUGGGUGCAUAUGCACCUAGGAGCCAAAACGCCACUCUCACAAUCUUGCCCUUAAUUACCAUCCAGAACUAUUUUAUUUUAUAGUUUCUGAGGCAAAUUAAAAACGGAAUGCUUUCAUAGUUGUUCGUCUUUCAUAAAUCCAAUGGAUUUUAGAGGUGCAGCUUUCCCCGGCCGCGUGUUGGAUGUCGCAGCUCCGGGGAUGUUCAAGGCAGGAUGUAUGCUGCGGUUCGUCGGUCAGUGGUGUUCCUUUGGUGCAAAGUUGAUCUCUUUGGAUGGUCUUGGGGGUGUCUGGAUGUUGGGCGGCGGCCCUGGCGGCGGGAGGCGUGGCGUUCGCGGGCGGAACCUGCGUCUCAGGUGCGGACGAGCAGCCAUGUUUUCGCGGGGGACGUGGUUGCGGGUGGUUGGCGGAGCAGGGGUGUGUCGGUAGGGUGCGAGCACCGGGGUUCAUCACUUGCCCAGUUUCUGGCCGUCGGUGGCGGCGUCCGUGGACGUCGUAUCCUUCUUGAAGGCUCCGUCGCGGUGCUCCCACCCCCUGCAUCGCUCCGGGUGAAAACUUGAUCUGCGGAUCGGACGGUGGCGGCUAUCCGUGGUCGUACCCUUCUGGAAGGCUCCGUCUUGGAGUCCUUGCUUCAUCAUGGUCCAUCUCACCCCCUCGGUGGCUCCAAGUGGUUCUUCGUAGCUCAUAUUAUGUUUGCUUGGUUGUUUCCGGGUGGUGUGAUGGUGCUCGGCACCUUUGUAUCUAGCCUUGGGUGUGUUCGGUGUAUGUCGUGGUGGCGUGUGUUUGUUUGUCUCGCUCAGAUGUAUGUGAUGUUAUUUGCUUUAUAAUAUAAAGCGGGGGAAGCCCUUUUUCGGCAAAGAAAGAGAGAAGGGUUUUUGAUGCAUGGUUGAGUGUGCGUGACUCACGGGAGCGGGAAGAGGUGGAUGACGACGGCGACGCGGCGGGCGCCAAAGUGGUCGGCGGCCCUCCGCAGCGGCGGCCAGGCGUCGCGGCUGUCGGGGCAGAGCGGGUCGAAGAAGGCCUCGACGACCACCGCCUCGCCCCACGCCGGCGCCCACGCCUGCCCCCCGUACACGAACCCGUUCGUCCUCGCCGGGACCGGCACCUGCGCGCCGCAGCGCCCGGCCGCGAUCACCACCGCCACCAGCACCAGCAGCGGCGGCGACACGCGGCGGUGGCGCUGUCGCCUGGCCUCCAUCGAUGGAUCGAUCGAUCGCCGGACUCUCAGAGUCACAGUGCUAGCCUAGCCACUCGUACGUGUCUGGUUGUUGAGCACUCUAUGCCGGCCGGUGCACGGCGCGCGUGCAAAAAUUUAUAUGCUCCAUAGAAUACUACGACAGCUGAUAUGUGUCGUUAAUUAUUACCGUAAAAACUGUCAUUAACAGGUGGUCACUAGCUUCCUAAUGAUGCGGCAGACAUGCACCAGGCCUGGAAAAACGUAUACUCACUCCAUCCGGGUCUAGAUACAUCCAUUUUACUUUUUUAAAAAAAUAGAUGCAUCCAUUUGAAUGGCAACUAAUUCCAAACGAUAUAGUUGACGCUCAAACUUGAAUGUAUUUAGAUGUGCCUAUACAUCAUCUACAUACAUCCUUUUUUUCUCUUCAUGAGAAUCUAGAUACAUUCAUUUGAGUGACAACUAAUUCCGGACGCUCAAAUGAAUGUAUUUAAACGUGGCUAGAUACGUCCAUUUGAGCGACAACUAAUUUCAAAUGAAGGGAGUUUUUUUUUUGCGUGGCGAUGAAGGAAGUAUAUACAAAGGAAUCAUAGCCAUUUAGAAGUACUCCCUCCGUAAACUAAUAUAAGAGCGUUUAAAAUACUAAAAUAAUGAUAUAGACACUCUUAUAUUAGUUUACAGAGGGAGUAUUUGUUUCGGAGCAGAUUAGAGAAAAAUGAAACAAAUGACUAUGUAAGAAAGCGUGCGCUACAGCCGCAACGCACGACACCCAACGUUGCAUCACACGGCAUUGUACCGUUGUUGCCCCGCCAGACGAUGGAAUGCCGAAUUGUUUGUGAAAUAAGUACAAACGUGCAAAAACACUGGAAUGAAUGCAUCGCUUCGUUCAGUUAUCACAACAAUACAGUUGUUGAGUUGUUUUCGCAGGGAAAUGUAAAUGUUAUUUGUGCUCAGUUUAGCUAUAUGGUAGGGACGAGCAUGAAGCUUGGCUAUGGAGGAUUUUGAAUUGGGGCCAGUUCUUUUCAGGCGAUUCUGGACAAUCGUGGCUGGAGAAUCAAUAUAUAAGCUGAAAAGAAGUCGAUCUGAUUCUUCAAAAUCACCAGAGAAUCGCUAGAAUCGCUAGUGCAAUCGAAAAGCGCCCGCAACCCACGAUUGUGGCGAUUCUCGUCACUCCCGCAAAAGAUGUCGAUCUGUAGGUUAGAUGUUUGGAUCGUGCAAAUGAAUAAAAUACAACUAGCGGUGUAUUACAGGCAUGUUUAGUUUAAUUUCACUCAAGGGCAUUACAGACAUUUGAGCACAUAACUUAUCCCACAAUCUCAGAGUACAAUCUUAGAAAAGAACUCGAUGGUUGAUUUUGUGGGAAGCUGAUCCUCUGGGAAGUUUCUCAGAAUCUGAUUCUAGAGAAUCAAAAGCUGAAAAGAACUGGGCCGGCUGUCAGCCGUUUUAUAGCUAACAGCUUGUGUGUCUCAAGUUACAACCUUACAAGCGACCGGCUGUCAGCCGUUUUAUAUGCUGCUUACGAUUUAUUUUUUUGAGAACCAUAUGCUGCUUAGAGAGGAGCUAGUCCUUGGCGUUGUAGCAAAUCGACGGCUUGGGCUUCAGGCCCAUCUUGAUUGUUCGGGCCGAGCGAUAGUGGAGCUAACACUCCCUCUCCCUUGAUGGCCGGCUUGUCCCCAAGCUAGAGCUCGAGGAAAACGUUGCCACAAUUCCUCCAAAUUUUCUCAAGUGGCCACUGUCUCCGGUUGAUCCGACUAAUGGAUUAAACCUUGUGGAACUACAUCAUCACCACGACGAUGGAAGCGCCACUGCGGCACAUCAGAAGGAACAACAAACUGGGCAUCUUGAGAGGGAAGAUCAAAGUGUACCUAACAGUACUUAAACAACAACUUAUGAUGAGCACGAGCAGCGACUGAAGACUGAAAGUAUGGUUGCAGCUUCAGGCCGACCUAGGCGGUAUUGCCUAUUUGGAACUUUGGAUUUUUGUACUCAUUGUAUUCGCAUACUCGAAUUGCAAACCCUUAUAGAAAAACAUGCUCCAAAGCUGUCAAUUAAUUUCCGCGUGCACAAGGGGGGGGAGGCCAUCGAGGGAACUACAUGCCUGACUUACAAACAUUAUCAUGAUAAUGAACACAUACUUCCAUCAACAUUAUGGAAAAAUCAAACUAUGUAUGUCUUCCACUUAUUUGGCUAAUAUUGGUUACAAUUUAGAGAUAUUUAUUUGCAGCGAGAUAGCUCCCUACAUCUUGCCAACCAACGGAUCAAGUGUGGAUAUCCACUUGUUGUAGUCCAUAGGAGAACCAGAGUCACUGAGUGGUAUGCCAUUAACAAAGUAGUAGGGUGUCCCGGUGACGCCUCGUGCACAACCAAACUACAAAACGGAGAAAACACAUGGUGAAUAUUGCGGCUAGAACAAUAAUAUGACAUAUAAUGCGAUACAAGUUCAACAAACCUUGAAGGAAAUCCUUGUGGCCUGAUCUGACUGUGAGUCGUUGAAGCCCGCUCUGUAUGCUGCCAAGUUGGCCUCACCAAUGACAGGGGCGACAAGGUUGUUAGCUAUUUCGGCGACCACCGCUGCUCUUGUUUUGGUGUAUGUCGGCAUGUUGUAAUAACCCUCCUGAAAUGUUACCAUCCUUUAACUCCUUGUGAUCUUAUUGUGUGUCUUACAUGUUGUUACCAAUUUAAGAGGUAUUUAUCCCUUGGACACAAAUGAAAGUGUCAUAUAAUUGUGCUUGAUGUAUGCACUAGAAAAGCCAUGGUGGAAAAGCUAGCUAUGGAAUAUGAGCUUUUGCUUGUAUAGAUGGUGCUUGGCAUGGACAAAAAAACAUUGCAUGGUGGUUUCAUCCAAUGGGAUGUGAGCAGGGUGCUUCUCGGUUCCCUCUCUUUGCCUCAAAAAGCUGCAUUACACUGCACCUAGUAGUGGUUCCAAAGCAAUACCUAGUCAGCUCCAUUCAACAAAAAAAAGCAACACCACCUCUCCUACGGUGAAUAUUACCGAAAUACCCCUCAUCUUUUCAAAAUGUUGUGCUUGAUUUUCUCCUCUCUCUCUCUCUCUCUCUUUGCACCUUUUGAAGUGUGAUACAGUGGGUAAUAAAGAAGCAGGCAGGCAAGAGAUAAUUAACCUGGUAUUUGAAGAAGUUUUCGAGCAGGGGAUACACGGCUGACGCAUUUAGCUUGUGCACCGUGUGGAUCGACCGGCAAGCCAUGAAGGCGCUGCUGUGGUAACUGCAAAUUUCACAGAGAAAAUCACGUCACAAAUUAAACCAGUAAAAGUUUCAUCAGAGUUACUCCGGGAGCUAGUGAAAAUAACAUGUUUAUGAUUUUUGUAAGCCAAAAGCGGCCAGGUUAUCAAAUAAAAUAAUGAAAGAUUUUUUAAAAUUUCUUUUUGUGGGGAUUUUGUUUCCUGAAUAUGACGGAUGAUGUAAACUGAGUUUCUAAUGAAAAUUUCUACCUUUUUUUUUUCCUUUUUCCUCAAACAUCGCUCUCAUUAGACGGUUUGCUUCUGAAUACGAAGAAUGAAGAUUUUUUUUUAAUUUCUUUUUGCGGGGAUUUUUGGUUUCUGAAUAUGACGGAUGAUGUAAACUGAGUUUCUAAUGAAAACUUGUACAUUUUUUUCCCUUUUUUCCCUAACAUCGCUUUCAUUAGAUGCUUUGCUUGCUUAAUAAAUACCAAAACCAUAUGGUACUAAAUCAUACCGUCAACAAGUUUUUAGUUGUAUCAAUGAUGUUGUGAUGACUUGCACCUCGAUCAUAUGUCUUAUCACUGUGUGUUGCCUAAUGCAUGGUUGGGGCAUCUUUUGUUUCCCCCUUUUUCUUUUGUGAGUGGAGGACGAUUGGAUUGGAUUGACAUGAGCAAAAAGCAGCCCAUAUUUUGUUCCAGGAAUACACAAAAGAUAUGCAGCGCCUGCGUGGAAGAAUUUUUGUUCUCUCUAGCUAUCACAAAACUCGACCACGCUCCGGUUGGAAAGUAGGUGAGAUGUAACAGAUUUUAACACUGACUAUAAGACCAGUUUAGUUUGGUGUGUCCAUAGAAAAAUAAUAAAAUCUUUCCCUUUAAUUACCAUUGUGCCACCCGACGCAGAACCUGUAUUUUUUUACGGGCAAAUUAAAAACAGAAUACACUAGAGUGAAAUGGACGGUAGUGAGGUUGGAAAAGGAUCCAUGUUUUCAGCCCACACUCCUCUUGGUAUGUGUGGGCUAGCUAGACCUGGCCUGACACGUCUGAGCACAAGCGAGUCACAAUUGAUCGGACGUGUUCCUAGUCAUUUGGAAUUUUUGGUUGGAUUUUACCCGCCGAAUUCACAGGCAAUUACUUAUACUGACCGAAGCAGGCCACGGCUAAAUUUGCUACUCCCUCCGUUCCAAAUUACUUGUCUUAGAUUUGUCUAGAUACGGAUGCAUCUAGCAUUAAAAUGAGUCUAGAUACAUCUGUAUCUAGACAAAUCCGAGACAAAUAAUUCGGAACGGAGGGAGUAGAAAGUAGAAACCGAGGUGGAAGAAUCAGACUGAGGUACCAAGACCAAGACGACAAUUCAUAUCCUAUGCAGGAGGAAAGAAAAAGAGAGGAUGGUUUUGAUGGUUGACUGGGCGCGUGACUUACGGGAGCGGGAAGAGGUGGACGACGACGGCGACGCGGCGGGCGCCGUAGUGGGCGGCGGCCCUCUGCAGCGGCGGCCAGGCGUCGCGGCUGUCGGGGCAGACGGGGUCGAAGAAGGCCUCGACGACCACCGCGUCGCCCCACGCCGGCGCGGCCGACUUCCCGCCGUACAGGAACCCGUCCGUCCUCACCGGGAUCGGCAGCUGCGCGCCACAGCGCCCGACGACGGCCGCCACCGCCACGAGCACGAGCAGCGCCGCCGCCGCCGGCACACGGUGGCGGCUGGGCUCCAUCGAUCACGAUCACGAUCGCUCUGCUGGGGCUGGGCUACCCACUAGCUUGCUUGCUUGGGUGUUUGGCUGGUAGCUCGCUGGUGAAGUAACAGGAAGUGAACACAGCUGAGCUGAGGUAUAUAUUUGGAUGGAACAAGAUGGAGUAGACGAUAGAGCAGAGGUCGUUAGGACGACUGAUGAUAGCCGAGCACGACGAGUGCACGCACACAGGCAGCCAAAGGUGCACAUUAUUAUGUAUAGACGCAGAGGCAGACAUUUCGCCGAAAGCGAGGCCAUGGAGGUGACGGACGGACGGCUACCCGGCAACGGCCAACGCAUGGCACGCACAUUCCAGGCGAUGACAUCGCACGGAUUUAGAUACGUCCUUUUUUUGUUCAUUUUGAUGACAAGUAUUUCCGGACAAAGGGAUAUUUCCGGACAAAGGGAGUACGUACUACACCUAAAACGAAGGAAGUGUGAUGUAUGUGAUCAAGUCGGAUGGGAGACUCCGCGUAUCUGUUUCCACUUGCUUUGGGUUUUUCCGCGAGCAAGUUGAGAAGAACAGACAAUUCUUCAGCGAAGAAAAGUCACUUUGAUAGAUGCUUCUUCUCAAGGACAAAAGGACAAGACAUGGCAAUGAUCCUGCCCAAAUUUACUACCCACCGUGCAUAAUACGGAGUCGUUUAUUUACUUCCCAGUACUUGCUUAUAUUGAACUAAAAAACACGACAAGAACACCGGCAUCAGUAAAGAAGUAACAGCUUUUGCAGUUACACAAUCAGCAGUCCCAAUACAACAGCCCGGCCCAGCCAGACAACCAAAUGAGCCGACGAACAGCCAGGAUGAAUGAGCUUUCUGCUCUGGGCUUCCUCUUAAGAAUCAUAGAGUAUGUAAGCCAGUGGUACCAACAAAUAUACUCACUCACGGUCGAUCGAUCGAUGAACACAAGCAUCGCCAACCGCUCACCCUUAUUCAGAUCUGUUCCUCGCACCACCCCCACUAGCUGGGCGUGCGCUGCAAGGCCUUUUGCAGAAAUUGCGACGCCAAAAACAGAAAUCAUCACCUCCCGUGUGAAACCACGCUCUCUUCCUAGUGUUCCGAGCCACCCAGGUCGCCCCAUCUCACCUUGUACUUGGCUGCCAGGUAGUGGGCGCCCACGGGCCCGCGGCUCCCGUAGGGGUAUAGCUCGGGGGCCAUCCGCUUCUGCUCCAGCUCCUUCAGGAGGGGCGUGAAGAGCUCCCACGCCGCGUCCAGCUCGUCCGACCGGAUGAAGAGCCUUCGCUCUCCUUCUAUCGCGUCGAGCAGGAGCCUCUCGUACGCAUCUGGUAUCUCCUUGGGGUACCUGAGGCAAAAUUUAUAAUAAGACUUCACAGAUUACGCCCAAGCGUUUUACUAAGAGACCUACGCUGCUACGAAGUAGGACGAGUGUACAAAACAGCGUAUCUCCAAAGGAAAAUUAUUGCAAAGUAUCACUGGAAAAAUAAAUUGUUGGGUAAAUUUCAAAGCAGCAGCAGCAGCAGCACUGAAGACACCACUUUGGUUGACAAAGCCAUGGCCUCUUGCAUUCACAAUGAUGUACAUGGGCAAAACAUCGAAUUGCUAUUAGUUAUCACUUAGCAUGAACUAAUUGAAUGGGACGGACUUAAAAGGGGGCAUUUGAACAUAUUAUAAAGAAGGGCUGUAAUAAACUGGAUGGAUUUACUAUUUCAUAUUGAGAAGUUUAUCCAAUUCAUGGAGUUUGAUCAAAAACCAUAUACAGUUUCUCCAAAAUAAAAUAUGAUAUCCAAUAAAACUUUGAAUGUCCGAGUUUAUCCAUUUUCUUAAUCGCCAGGAGACAUCUC
rnacentral:lncRNA from 1 species